AGGCAGGAGAAUCACUUGAACCCAGGAGGUGGAGGUUGCGGUGAGCCAAGAUUGCACCACUGCAUUCCAGCCUGGGUGAAUGAGCAAGACUGUCUCAAAAAAACCCCCAUAAAACAAAAAUUAGCUGGGUGUGGUGAUGCAGGCCUGUAAUCCUAGCUACUGGGAAGGCUGAGGCAGGAGAAUCGCUUGAACCCAGGAGGUGGAGGUUGCAGUGAGCUGAGAUUGAGCCACUGCACUCCAGCCUGGGCAACAGAGUGAGACUCUGUCUCAAAAAACAAAACAAAACAAAAGUCAAACAGUACAAGGAGUCUUCUCUUCUUCCUUCCAGUCCCACCCCUCUAUAAUGAAUGAGUGAUAAUGGUAACAGUUUGGUGGUCUCCUUCCUUUUUGAUGCUUAUACAAACAUGUUCAAAGAUAUAUGUGCAUAUAAGAUUCUUUCAAACACUGGAUCAUACUGUAAUAUAUUAAAAUAACAGACUCUUUUCACUUAACAUUUUUUCAUGGACAUCUGUCCAGAUCAAUCCAUUUAUAUAUAACUUAUUUUUUAUAGCUAUAUACUAGUAUCCUUAGAAUGGAUACAUUAUUUAUUCAGCUCACCUCCUUGUUUCAGAAAUUUAGGUUAUUUCUAGGUUUGUUUUUUACUAUUUCAAACAAUGCUGCAAUAAACAUUCUUGUUCAUCAAAUCUUUGUACUGAUGCUUUAAUUUCUAUGGAUGGGUUCCUAAAACUUUCUGUGUGGUCCAUGGACAAGCAGGGACAGUUUGGAUGAUAGCAGGUACCUAUCCCUCCUGCUGUCCAUCCCCCUGCUUGGCCAUCCCUGGGGCUUCUUCCCCAGGCAAUCCAAGUGUGUCACCUGUCUGGUCAGUUGACCCCACCUCUUAACUGCCAUAAAGCCCAGCUUAGAGCAGGUCCCAUCCAUUGUUUUUUUUUUUUUGAGACAGAGUCUCCCUCUGCUGCCCAGGUGGAGUGCAGUGGCGUGAUCUUGGCUCUCUGCAACCUACACCUCCUGGGUACAAGCGAUUUUUGUGCCUCAGUCUCCUGAGUAGCUGGGAUUUUGGUGUGUGCCACCAUGCCUGGCUAAUUUUUUGUUUUUUGGUUUUUUUUUUUGAGACAGAGUUUUGUUCUUGUCAUCCAGGCUGGAGUGCAAUGGUGCGAUCUCAGCUCACUGCAACCUCCGCCUCCUGGAUUCAAGCUAUUCUCCCGCUUCAGCUUCCCAAGUAGCUGGGACUACAGGCCCGGGUCACCACACCUGGCUAAUUUUUGUAUUUUUAGUAGGGAUGGAGUUUCACCAUGUUGGCCAGGGUGGUCUUGAACUCCUGACUUUGGGUGAUCUGCCUGUCUCGGCCUCCGAAAGUGCUGGGAUUACAGGCAUGAGCCACCGCACCUGGCUCAUCCACUGUUUUGAUCUGUGCCUGUCUACCUUUUCUGCCUGUCCAGCCUCUACAAGGUCAAUUCCCCAGGAGCGAGGGGUCAGAAAUAUUAAUUUUUUUGGUCACACACCCAAAAAUUUUGUUGUAGAGAGAGGUUUCACUGUGUUGCCCAGGCUGGCCUUGAACUCCUGGGCUCAUGUGAUUCUCCUGCCUCAGCUUCCUGAGUAGCUGGGACUACAGGUACACUCCAGUAUGUAUGUGUUUUGCCCAGGCUGGUCUUGAACUCUUGGGCUCAAGCAAUCCUCCUGCCUUAGCCUCCCUAAGUGAUAGGAUUAUAGGUAUAAGCCACCACACCUGACCUGUUUUUUUUAUUUUUUAUUUUUUAUUUUUGAGACGGAGUCUUCCUCUGUCACCCACCCUGGAGUGCAGUGGUGUGGUCUCAGCUCACUGCAACCUCUGCCUCCUGGGUUCAAGCGAUUCUUCUGCCUCAGCCUCCUGAGUAGCUGGUAUUACAGGCAUUCGCCAUCAUGCGCAGCUAAUUUUUGUAUUUUCGUAGAGACAGGGUUUUACCAUGUUGUCCAGGCUGGUCUUGAACUCCUGAACUCAGGUGAUCUGCCCGCCUCGGCCUCCCAAAGUGCUGAGAUUACAGGUGUGAGCUCCCACACCCGGCCUGACCUGUUUUUAUUUUAAUUUAAUUUAAUUUUAUUUUAAUUAUUUUGAGAUUUGGCUCCACUCCGUAGCCCAGGCUAGAGUGCAGUGGUGCAAUCACAGCUCAUUGCAGCCUUGACCUCCCAGGGUCAAGUGAUCCUCCCACCUCAACCUCCUGAGUAGCUGGGACUACAGGUUGGCACCACCACACCUGGCUAAUUUUAAAAAAUUUUGGGCGCUGGGUGCAGUGGCUCAUGCCUGGAAUCCCAGCACUUUGGGAGGCCGAGGCAGGCAGAUCAUGAGGUCAGGAGUUCGAGACCAGCCUGGCCAACAUGGUGAAAUCCAGUCUCUACUAAAAAUACAAAAAUUAAGCCGGGCAUGGUGGCGCACGCCUGUAAUCCUAGCUAGUCAGGAGGCUGAGGCAGGAGAAUUGCCUGAACCCAGGAGACGGAGGUUCUAGUGAGCCGAGAUCAUGCCACUGCACUCCAGCCUGGGCGACAGAGAGAGAGACUCAUCGCAAAACAAAACAAAAAGCUGGCCGGGCGUGGUGGCUCACUCCUGUAAUCCCAGCAUUUGGGAGAUCGAGACCAUCCUGGCUAACACGAUGAAACCCCAUCUCUACUAAAAAUACAAAAAAUUAGCCGGGCGUGGUGGUGGGCGCCUGUAGUCUCAGCUACUUGGGAGGCUGAGGCAGGAGAAUGGCAUGAACCCUGGAGGCAGAGAUUGCAGUGAGCCGAGAUUGCGCCACUGCACUCCAGUCUAGGCGACAGAGUGAAACUCUGUCUCAAAAAAAAAAAGUUUUGUGGAGAUGAGGUCUUGUGGUGUUGCCCGGGCUGGUCUUGAACUCCUGGGCUUAAGCCAUCCUCUCGCCUCAGCCUCCCAGUGUUGGAAUUACAGGCAUGAGACAUGUGCCCGGCUGUCUUUGUUUUUUUAAUAUGAGGUCCUCUCUCUCCCUUAACAUGGAGAAGCAUUAAAAAUGUGGCCCCAGAUCCCGCUGGCCAGGAAGCCUCUAUGGACUGCCCCUUACUUUUCAUGAUGUCCAUGAUGUGGCGCUGCUGGAUGUUCGUCAGUUUGGAUUCCUUCAUCAUCACUGCACGACAAAGCGUUCUAUGAGGGCUCCUGGGCUGCAUGCGGAUGCCUUCACCUGAUGCCCUACUGAAAUUUAAAACCCUACAUCCUAGCCCCAUUCUGCACUGAGCAUGCCUUCUCUAUCUUUCCUGCUUCGUUUUUUCUAUAGCACUUAUGACCACCUAAAAUUCUAUAUAUUUUAUUUUAUUGUUAUCCUUCUAUAUUAGCUCUAUGAUAACAAGAAUUUUUGCUGGUUUAAUAAAAUUUCUGCCCUUUGUUAACAAAUAUUUUUUCCUCUUUCUCUUCUUUUUUUUUUUUUUUUGAGAUGGAGCUUCUAUCUUGUUGCCCAGGCUGGAGUGCAAUGGCGCGAUCUCAGCUCACUGCAAUCUCCACCUCCUGGGUUCAAGCAAUUCUCCUGCCUCAGCCUCCCGAGUAGCUGGGAUUACAGACAUGCGCCACCACGCCCGGCUAAUUUUGCAUUUUUAGUAGAGACUGGGUUUCUCCAUGUUGGUGAGGCUGGUCGUGAACUCCUAACCUCAGGUGAUUUGCCCACCUUGGCCUCCCAAAGUGCUGGGAUUACCAGCAUGAGCCACCUCAUUUUCUUUCACUGCUGUAUCCCCAGCACCUAAAACAGAGUCUAAGGCACAUGGUAGACUUAAAAAUGUUGUUGUUGGAAAAAAACAAAAAAGUUGUUGAGUAAAAGAGCACAUGAACACUUGUUCAUCAUGUUUCAGGGGCUGGAGCUACAAUUGUGAGCUGAAACAGGCACGGUUCCUGCCUGAUGAAAUUCAUGAUCUGGAGGGAUAGAUGGGACACCAAAUAACUGACUACAAUUUGUGCUAAGCCCAGUGAAGGAAAAUGUGUGAGGGCGCAUAACAGUUGAUCCUACUGUGGUGGUAAGGAGGAGAGGUCUUCCUCGGGAAAGUUGAAAGUGUGAUCUAAAGGAUGCAUAGGAGUUAACUACUCUAAAAAUGUUAGUUCUUUUACUUUUGGCAAGGUGUAGCACCUUGAACCUUCCCCUCCCCCCCGCCCCGCCCCCGACUAAGGCAUUUGCAGUAGAAUUUUGAAGCUUUCUGAACCCAAGGCUCCUUAUCUGUAAAGGAAAAUAGCAAUUGCUAAGCCACAGGUCAGGUACGGGGGAACUGAGUUACAGAUGGUAACUGCCACCAUUCUUCUCUCAUCCUUUAGCCCAGGGGUCCCCAACCCCCCGUCCGUGGACUGGUACCAGUCCCUGGCCUGUUAGGAACCGGGCCGCACAGCAGGAGGUGAGCGGCAGGCUAGAGAGCUUCACCGCCUCCUUUCAGGUCGGUGACGGCCUUAGAUUCUCAUGGGAGCGCGAACCCUAUUGUGAACUGCGCACGCGAGGGAUCUAGGUUGCACGCUCCUUAUGAGCAUCUAAUAAUACCUGAUGAUCUGAGGUGGAACAGUUUCAUCCCGAAACCAUUCCCCACACCUCCGUCAGUGGAAAAAUUGUCUUCCACGAAACCGGUCCCUGGUGCCAAAAAGGCUGGGAUCGCUGCUUUAACGCACUGACCUCUGAGCAGCUCGCAGGUCCCCGGGGUGUAAGUGGUCGUCUUGCGGCGGCGCUGGAACCCAGUUCCUUUGGUCACUACCUCCAUCUGCUUCUGUGAAGCCAUGGGAGGACUCUGAGGAGGGAAAGACGCAAUGACACACCCCCUGUCUCUUAUACCUAAUCUCUGUUCCCCGAUGCCCAACACCCCCAAAAAUCUGGAAGCGGGGAUCGAGCCAGAGAAUAAUGCCACCAGUUAAUAUUGCGACAGUGCCCAAACCUCCCAUCCAGACACAGACAGAUACACACACACAGUCCUCAUUCUGACCCAGAGCCUGUGGCAGGGAAGUAUCCUCGGGAGGAAGGGAGUGUUAACAUAGCCAUAGUCACAACAGUCCCCACUGAGUGAUAUGCCAAAAUUGAAAUUUCACCCUAAGACCCUCUCUGGGUGCUCCCCUCUCCACAUAGAAGUGGGCUCCCGGAGGCGGUGACCACUGCUUUACAGCCGCAUCCGCACCGGUGCCACGCAGAAAUACUGCGCGAUCUGGGCUGCCGGAGCUGGCAGCUAGCGCCUCUGGCUACUAUAGAAACGCGCACACACCAGUCAGCGCAUGCGCACUUUCCCCGCUCUGUCCUGCCUCCCGGAAGUGAUUUCCCCUGGGUUACGGCGCAGGCGCAAGAUAAGCGAGGCGCCGCGCGAGUUGUGGUGGCGCUGUUUGCGGGUCUCCGCGCGGGAGCGGGGCGCAGCGGGGUCGCUGAGGCGAGGGUGUCAUGUCAGACAACGAGGACAAGUGAGUGCGAGAGUGGAAUGGCCUUUGCGGCAACCUCGGAAGGGGCGGGUGAGGCAAGGCGUGGGUCGGCUGAGGAGCCUGGCGUCUAGGGGCAAUGUCUGAGGGGACUGGGGUCCUGAGGGGGGCGGCGGAGCCGAGGAAGGGAAGGGUGGGGACCCAGGAGCAUAGCCCCGGCUGGAGGCACAGGAGGGCCCAGGCUCGAGGGUCCAGAGGGGAUCCGUAGAAAAGGUGUCCUUCAGCAAAUGUUCCAGCGAGCCGGGCUCUGUGUCAUGCAGUGGGAAUAUUGAAGUGAAUGAACAAUCGUCCCUGCCUCUCCACGUGCUCACUUUCUAGAAAAGGGGGCACAGGCCCAUAAGUAAGCAGCAAGCAGGUAACGGUGGUCGCGUGAGCUUCCCCAGUUCUAGAAGUAUGUAGUAUAGGAGUACUACAGAGGAGGGUCUGGGCCAGCUCCACCGGGUGGCAUUAAAUAAAAGUCUGGGACGGUCCGUAGAGGUGGUGAGAACUGGUUUUGAAUUCUGGAUAUAUUACUAUUUUAAAGAUAGAGCCAAAAAAUUACCUGUUGGAUGUGUGGGUGCAAAGAGAGCUAGUCUGAAGAUAAAAAUAAGAAACGUGGGAUUGCUACCGCAUUCCCAGAAGAGGAGAUGAUCCGUGGCUGAGCAUUAGGGCAUUUGGGCAUUGAGUGCUUGGGGGAAAAGAGAAGCCGGGGAGGUGGGGGAACACCAAGAGAGUGAGGUGUCCUUGGAGUCAGGUGAGGAGAGCAAGUGGCCUAAUGUGCCAGCUGAUAGAUCAGGCUAAAUGAGAAGGAGAGUUGGCCAUUGGAUUUAGCAACAUGGAGAUCAUUAAUGAGCUUGGAAAGUGGUUUUGAUGGAGCUGUUGGGCUGAAAGGCUUUUUGGAGUGAGAUUAUAACAAAAUGGGAAGAGAGGAAGACAAUGAGGGUGGACAGCUCUUUCACACAUUUUUGCUUCAAAGGGCACCAUGGAAUUAGGGCUAUAGGGGGAGAGCGAAGAGAAAUGGGUUGUUUUUUUUUUUUAGAUGAGGAAAAGCACAUGUUGAAAUGCUGAUGGGGCUGGGUGCUGUGGCUCACACCUCUAAUCCCAGCACUUUGGGAGGUCGAGGAGGGUGGAUCACCUGAGGUCAGGAGUUCGAGACCAGCCUGGUCAAAAUGGUGAACCCCAUCUUUACUAAAAAUACAAAAAUUAGCUGGGCAUGGUGGCAUGUGCCUAUAAUCCCAGCUACUCGGGAGGCUGAGACAGGACAAUUGCUUGAACCUGGGAGGUGGAGGUUGCAGUGAGCCAAGAUCGUGCCAUUGUACUCCAUCCUGGACAACAGAGCGAGACUUUGUCUCAAAAAAAAAAAAAAAUGCUGAUGGGAAUGAUCCAGUAGAGAGGGAAACAGUGAUGAUGAAUGAGUCCUAGCAACAUUUGGGGCAGAUGGGGAAAAAUUGAAGGGGUAAAAUGGAACAAAAGUCGGAUUUACUUAUUAUUAUUAUUAUUAUUAUUAUUAUUAUUAUUUUUUUUUUUUGAGAAGGAGUCUCGCUGUGUCACCCAGGCUGGAGUGCAGUGGGGUGACCUCUGCUCAGUGCACCCUCCGCCUCUCAGGUUCAAGCAAUUCUUGUGCCUCAGCCUCCUGAGUAGCUGGGAUUACAGGCGCCCACCACCACACCCGGCUAAUUUUUUUGUAUUUUUAGCAGAGAGGAGAUUUCUCCAGGUUGGCCAGGCUGGUCUCGAACUCCUGACUUCAAGUGAUGCACCCACCUCGGCCUCUCAAAGUGCUGGGAUUACAGAUGUGAGCCACUGCACCCAGCUGAUUUACUUAUUAAGUAGAUAUUUAUUGAGUGCUUCCUACAUACUGGGCGAGACACAGAUCUCUGCCCUCUUUGAUUUUUUUUUUUUUUUUGUGUUUUUUUUUUGGGGGGGGUUUUUUGAGACGGAGUUUCACUCUUGUUGCCCAGACUGGAGUGCAAUGGCGUGAUCUCAGCUCACCACAACCUCCGCCUCCUGGGUUCAAGUGAUUCUCCUGCCUCAGCCUCCCAAGUAGCUGGGAUUAUAGGCAUGUGCCACCACCACUCCUGGCUAAUUUUGUAUUUUUAGUAGAGAUGGGGUUUCACCAUGUUAGUCAGGCUGGCCUUGAACUCCACCCACCUUGGCCUCCCAAAGUGCUGGGAUUACAGACUUAAUCCCAGAGCCACAAUACAAAGCCACCAUGCCCGGCCUCUGAUUUUUAUUUUUUUAUUUUUCUUAUUUUAUUUAUUUUGAGACAGGUACUUGUUCUGUUACCGAUGCUGGAGUGCAGCGGUGCAAUCUUGGCUCACUGCAACCUCCACCUCCUGGGUUCAAGCAAUUCUUGUGACUCGGCCCCCCAAGUAGCUGGUAUUACAGACAUGUGCCACCAUGCCCAGCUAGUUUUUGUAUUUUUAGUAGAGACGGGGUUUUGCCAUGCUGGCCAGGCUGGUCUCGAAUUCCUGGCCUCAAGUGAUCCACCCACUUCGGUCUUCGAAAGUACUAGGAUUACAAGUGUGACCCACCAUGCCCGGCCCCUCUUUGAUUCUUGUAAGUGAUGCUCUAAGUAACUGAUCUCUUCUUCCUGUACAGUUUUGAUGGUGACGACUUUGAUGAUGUGGAGGAGGAUGAAGGGCUAGAUGACUUGGAGAAUGCCGAAGAGGUCAGUAUUCAGCCUCAGGCUCCCACCUCUGCAGCCCAAGCUGCCAAAUUGUCUGGCAGGUGAUGAUUAGCUGAAUGUGUCUGCCUUCUAUUUGUGGUCAAGGCCCCUGCCAUAAGCAUUCCCAGUUAGAGUGAGCUGUGUUCCAGUCUUGCAUAGCAGAACAGCCCUGCAGGGUGGGCCUGAAAGCUUUUGUCCAUGUGGUCCACAGCCUGUGGCUUCUGGGGCAGCUAGUUCACUGACAAGUUAAACGGUGCCUUCCUUCAUUCGGCAAACGUGUUGAAUGUUUAUUAUAUGCCAGGUGCUUUCUGCAGGGUGGGAUUACUUACGGAGCAAAGGGAAGAGGUAAGCAGGGCUCAGAUGAGGCAGUAGUUUGUAGCCUAAAGGCAAUGGGAAGCUACUGACAAAUUUUGAGCCAGGGCACGGUCCAGGUUACAUUUUAGAAAGUACAUUCCUACCUCGAGUAAGGAGUGAACUGGGGAAGGGCAAGAGUGAAAGGUGAGAGGCCUGUGGCUUGGACAUAGGUGCUGGUAGCGCAGGUGAUGAGAAGGCAGAUGAAAGAGUUAUUUUGGUGGGUUGGUUAUGGGGCUGAGAAAGUGAGUGAUGACAAGGACGACUCUCAGGUUUCUGGCUUGAGCAACUAGGUGGAUAGGUUGCCAGCCUCAAGAGGAAAGUAGGGCUUUCUGUCCUGUGUGACUGAUGAGGGGAAAAAUGCAGUUAUGUUCUGGAGAGACAUGGAGACUUCUUUCUCUCUGCAUGGCACUUUAAGAUACAUUUUCACUUGAGUCAGAUGCGUCCUUCUCCAUCCUUCUGGUCCCCUUCCCAUCCCCGUCAUGUAGACUGUGUCUCCUAGAUGUACUUCAGCCCUGUCUGCAUUUUUCUACUCCUGGUGCCUUAACCUGGCUUAGAUCUUACUGCUUUUCAGCCACAUUCCUGCAGGAAUUGUGUGGCUGGUUUUCCUGCUUCAGUCUCACUCCAGACUCUGCUCUGUGUGCUCUUCUCCUUUCAGCGCCCUUUCUUACUUGCCCACAUGCUCAGUUACUACUGGCUUUCCUAAAUGGCCUCUCUGCUUCCGCCACUGCCCCCUGCAGAAUAUUCUCAACAGAGUAUCCAGAGUGAUCCUUUCUGGUUUUGUUGUUGUUGUUGUUGUUGUUUGUUUUCUUGUUUUAAAUUAAGAAGCGGUGUCUUGCUACGUUGUCUAGGCUAGAGUACAAUGGCUAUUUUCAGGUGUGGUCAUAGCGCACUACAGCCUUGAGCUCCUGGGCUCAAGUGAUCCUUCCAGUUCAGCCUCCUGAGUAGCUGGGACUGCAGGUUCUGCACCACCAUGCCCAGCUCAGAGUCAACCUUUUUUUUUUUUUUUUUUGAGACGGGGUCUUGCUCUGUUGCCCAGGCUGGAGUGCAGUGGCGCGAUGUUGGCUUACUGCAAGCUCCGCCUCCCGGGUUCAUGCCAUUCUCUUGCCUCAGCCUUCUGAGUAGCUGGGACUACAGGCGCCCACCACCACGCCCGGCUAAUUUUUUUUGUGUGUGUGUGUGUGUGUUUUUAGUAGAGACGGAGUUUCACCAUGUUAGCCAGGAUGGUCUCGAUCUCCUGCCUUGUGAUCCGCCCGCCUUGGCCUCCCCAAGUGCUGGGAUUACAGGUGUGAGCCACCGCGCCUGGCCUGUUUACUUAAUUCUUUAUAUACCACAGAAUUUAUUCUCCUGCCUACAAUCCUCUACGCACGUUUUGUUCUAAUUAUUGCCCACAACUAGUUGUCCAAACCUCUUUCUCCUCUUUGCCUUUGCAUGUUGCCUCCUUCCUCAUUGGUUUGACAGCUCCUGCUCAUCCUUCUAGGCGAGCUCAAGUCUCAUCCCUGGAGUUUUCCUAACCCCCAGUGUGAGUGAGGUGUCCCCACCUCCUUGGGAACUCUGUUGCACCCUUCAUAGCACCUGCUGUGUUUACUCUUGUCUCCCCUAUAGACCAUUAAUUGAGAGCAGAAAUUCCUAGCUUUCUUUCUCAGCAUCUGUUAAUAAUAUCUGGCUCAGGACAAAUGCUUAGUAAGUAGUUGUUAAAUAUUCCUGCCUUCACCUUGACUUUUCUAGCCACUUGACCCAUUGGCUCAGCUCCUCUAUCUGAAAGAUGGGGAGACUAUUCCUAGCUUCCUGCUUAGGGUAAUUUUUUUAUGCCGGGACCUCUUUUACGGGACCAACAUUCUGAUACCACCCCAUCUCCAGGCCCUCUGCUCUCUUCAGGAUGAGGCAGUUAGCUCUGGAAUCUCAGACCUCCAUUACCAGGUCUGAGGCUUGGUCAGGUUAGCUGACUUUCCAAGCCUCUGAAAUGAGAACUGUAAUCCCUGCCUCAUAAGGUUAUUGUAAGGAUUACAUGAGUUGUUAGGAAGCAGUCAUGCGGUCCCCUGGCAUGCAGUAAGCAUUAAUGGUGGCCGUAGCGAGGAUUGUGAUUGUUGUCAUUAUCACCCUCCCUGUAACCCAAAAAUGCCACCUGAGACUUUCCCUCUUUUUCGUCUUGGUGUCCAGGAAGGCCAGGAGAAUGUCGAGAUCCUCCCCUCUGGGGAGCGACCGCAGGCCAACCAGAAGCGAAUCACCACACCAUACAUGACCAAGUACGAGCGAGCCCGCGUGCUGGGCACCCGAGCGCUCCAGAUUGCGUGAGUCAUUGCCCCUUCACUGUCUUCUCCAUCUGUCAGGCCACAGUAAGCUCUUGUACCGCUGAUCUUGCCCAGCCUGGCACCUGAAAACAGACUGUUUGCUCUCACAUUCCAAAGUGGUGCCGUCCCUGCGUACCAGGCAUUGUACUAGUCCCCUGCCCUCAGGGAGCUUGUGAUCUAAUAGGAGAACUAGGACAUGAACAUCUGAGAAGUCAAGUAACAGUAUGGGAGAAAAAUGAUAAAAAAAAAACCAGAACUAGAUGGUUGCCUGUCAGAUCAGUGCAGCAAAGAAGGUGAAUUCAGAGCCAAUGUGUACAGUGUGUUUUUUUUUUUUUUUUUUUGAGAUAGAGUCUCACUGAGUCACCUAGGCUGGAGUGCAAUGGCACAAUCUCAGCUCACUGCAACCUCUGCCUCCCAGGUUCAAGUGAUUCUCAUGCCUCAGCCUCCCAGGUAGCUGGAAUUACAGGCAUGUGCCACCAUGCCUAACUAAUUGUUGUGUUUUUAAUAGAGACGGGGUCUCGCCAUGUUGCCUAGGCUAGUCUCGAACGCCUAGCUUCAAGUGAUCCACCUGCCUCUGCCUCCCAAAGUGUUGGGAUUGCAGGUGAGAGCCACCGCGCCCAGCCAUGGUGGUUCUUUGUUGUUUUAUUUUCCGAGUGAAGAUCUUACUCUGUUGCCCAUGCUGGAGCACAGGGGCCUGAUCAUAGCCCAUUGCAGCCUCAGACUCCUGGGCUCAAGCAAUUUUCUUUUCUUUUUUUUGAGACAGAGUCUCAUUCUGUCUCCCAUGCUGGAGUGCACUGGCCCAAUCUCAGCUCAAUACAACCCCUGCCUCCCGGGUUCAAGCGAUUCUCCUGCCUCAGCCUCCCACGUAGCUGGGACUGCAGGCAUCCGCCACCACACCUGGCUAAUUUUUGUAUUUUUUCUUUUUUUUUUUUUUUUUUUUUUUUUUUUGAGAUGGAGUCUCGCUCUAUCACCCAGCCUGGAGUGCAGUGGUGUGAUCUCUGCUCACUGCAAGUGCUGCCUCCUGGGUUCACGCCAUUCUCCUGCCUCAGUGGGGUACUCUAAUGGUACUGUGGGGAAGCAUGAGGGAAGCAUGAGACUGAGAACAGCAGCCCCUACCCCAAACUCCCUAUAGGCUGAUGUGGGAAAUGGUGGGUAUCUGGAGGAGUGGGGGGUAGUUCAAGUAGGGAAUAAUGGAAAUUAGCCUAGAGAGAAAAGCAGCUGGGUGCCCUGGCUCACACCUGUAAUCCCAGCACUUUGGGAGGAUGAGGCAGGUGGAUUGCUUGAGCCCAGAAGUUCAAAAUCAGCCUGGGCAACAUGGUAAAACCCCAUCUCUACAAAAAAUACAAAAGUGUGGUGGCGUGCGCCUGUAGUCCCAGCUACUUGGGAGGCUGACGUGGGAGGAUCGCCUGAGGCCAGGAGGUUGAGGCUGCAGUGAACUGUGAUCGCACUACUGCACACCAGCCUGAGCGACAGAGACUCCAUCUCAAAAAAACAACAACAACAAAAAAAAAAACAAAGGAAAGCUGGGGCCAGAUUUGUGGACUCUGUGUGCUUACAGGGGCAGCAAAUGCUGUCUGUACAUUCUCCUCCUUAGUGUUCAAGCAGCACUUGGCUGUUGUCUUCACUAGUCCUGUAGGGGUAAAGAUGACUAUCAUGUCUACUUCAAUAAAGGGUUUUAUGGGUGGGCAACAUUGUUCUCCCCCAUUCCUCAGCAGCGGACCUCUUCUCAGCCUGGUUGCACUCCUUGCUCUUAUGCAUGGCAUUAGAGCCACACCCAGUGUGAUAGCCAUACCCAAUAUGCCACCAAUGUCAGGAUCCUCUGGGCCUGCACCAUCAAUUAUGGUAGCCACGAACUGUAUAUGUCCAUUUACAUUAAGUACAAUUAAAUAAAAUUCGAAAUUCAGUUUCUGUCUCACUAGCCAGCCACACUUCUUUUUCAUUUAUUUAUUUAUUUAUUUUAUUUAUUUAUUUAUUUUUGAGACGGAGUCUUGCUCUGUCACCUAGGCUGGAGUGCAGUGGCACGAUCUUGGCUCACUGCAAGCUCUGCCUCCCGGGUUCACGCCAUUCUCCUGCCUCAGCCUCCCGAGUAGCUGGGACCACAGGCACCCGCCACCACGCCCGGCUAAUUUUUUAUAGUUUUAGUAGAGACGGGGUUUCACCGUGUUAGCCAGGAUGGUUUCGAUCUCCUGACCUUGUGAUCUGCCCGCCUCGGCCUCCCAAAGUGCUGGGAUUACAGGCGUGAGCCACUGCGCCCGGCCUAUUUAAUUUUUUUUGAGAAGGAGUCUCACUCUGUCACCCAGGCUGGAGUGCAGUGGCAUGAUCUCGGCUCACUGCAUCCUCUGCCUCCCAGGUUCAAGUGAUUCUCCCACUUGAGCUUCCCGGGUAGCUGGGAUUACAGGCACCCACCACCACGCCUGGCUAAUUUUUGUAUUUUUAGUAGGGACGGGGUUUCACCAUGUUCGUUGGCCAGGCUGGUCUUGAACUCCUGAUCUCAAGUGAUCCUCCUGCCUCAGCCUUCCAAAGUACUGGGAUUACAGGCAUGAGCCACCACGCCCAGCCUUUUCUUUUAUUCUUUUAGAGACAGUUCGGCUCUAUCGCCCAGGCUGGAGUGCAGUGGUGCUAUCAUAGCUCACUGCAACCUCAAAACUUCUAGGCUUAAGUGAUCUUCCCACUUCAGCCUCCCAGGUAGCUAGGACUACAGGCUAAUGCCACCACACCUGACUAAUGUCUCAAUUUUUUUGUAGAGACAGGGUUUCACAAAAAGACUCCUGGCUUCCAGUGAUCCCCCUGCUUCAGCCUCUAAAGUGCUGGGAUUACAGCUAGCCACAUUUCAAGUGUGUUCAGUAGCCACAUGUGGCUACUGGUUACCAUAAAGGAUAGCACAGGGGGAUAGGACAUUUCCGUCAUUGCAGAGCAUUCUAUGGGGCACACUGAUAUAGGCUAAAAGUGGCCCAGUAGAAAGAAGAAUUCAUAAGUUAUUUUUAAAACAAAUAGACUGCUUAUUUGCAAGUUAAACAGUCUUUCAGCACUGAAGAAAGAUACUGCAUUAGCACUUGAUAGGAUGCUGAGAUGAUUAAAAAUGUAGUCCCAGCCGGGCGCGGUGACUCACGCCUGGAAUCCGAGCACUGUGGGAGGCCAAGGCGGGCGGAUCACCUGAGGUCAGGAGUUCGAGACCAGCCUGGCCAACAUGGUGAAACCCUGUCUCUACUAAAAAUACAAAAAUUAGCCGGGUGUGGUGGCACGCGCCUAUAAUCCCAGCUACUCGGGAGGCUGAGGCAGGAGAAUCGCUUGAACUUGGGAGGCGGAGGUUGCAGUGAGCCAAGAUCGCGCCACUAAUCCAGCCUGGGUGACAGAGUGAGACUCUGUAAAAUUAAAAAAAAAAAAAAAAAGACAUAAUCCCCAGUCCUCCAGGUGUUUUCUGGUGGGGGAGAUAGACCUCUGCACAGGUACCCACAACCCAAGGCAGAUGCGAGUGGUGCUUUAUGAAAGGUACAAAGAGAGGUGUUAUUGCAGAGGUGACUGGGAAAGCCUUGUGAAGGGAUUAGAAUUCUAGUGGGGAGAGGUAAAGAGAGUUGGUUUUGUGGGUACUCCAGGUGCCAGAAACAGCCCAAGGAAAGGUCCAGGUGGAGGCACGCAGUUAUGGAUUUCUGGUGAGGGAUCAUAAGCAGCUUGGGGCCUAAGGCUGGAAAAGAUGACACUGGUCCUGUGAGUGACAAGUUCAGAAGAUUGGAGUUCAUUUGGUGGGCAGUGUGAAGUACUCAAAGGUUUUGAGGCCGACGUCCAGCAUCCAGGCCACUCAUAAAUCCAAGUGUCCUGUUUUUCUUUUCUUUCUUUCUUUUUUUUUUUUUUUGAGAUGGAGUUUUGCUCUUGUUGCCCAGGCUGGAGUGCAAUGGCAUGAUCUUGGCUGACUGCAACCUCUGCCUCCUGGGUUCAAGGAAUUCUCCAGCCUCAGCCUCCUGAGUAGCUGGGAUUACAGGCACACGCCACCAUGGCUGGCUAGUAUUUUGUAUUUUUAAUAGAGACUGUGUUUCACCAUGUUGGUCAGGCUGGUCUCGAACUCGUGACCUCAGGUGAUCCACCUGCCUUGGCCUCCCAAAGUGCUGGGAUUACAGGCGUGAGCCACUGUGCCCAGCCAAGUGUCCUGUUCUUCUUGGGGAGCAAAGCUUGGUCCAGGUCAUUCCAGUCUUUAGUGCUCUUUCCACUUAAGGGCUAUGACACCAUCUGGUGGCUCCUUGCCUGCUGUAAGCUCUUGUACAGCCAUAAUGGGACUCUGCACUUGGUAGGUGCAGAUGGAGUCUCAUUCUGUCACCUAGGCUGGAGUACAGUGGUGCCAUCUCGGCUCACUGCAACCUUCACCUCCUGGUUCAAGCGAUUCUCGUGCCUCAGCCUGCCAAGUACCUGGGACUACAGGCAUGUGCCACCAUGCCCGGCUAAUUUUUUGUAUUUUUAGUAGAGACGAGGUUUCACCAUGUUGACCAGGCUGGUCUCAAACUCCUGACCUCAGGUGAUUUGCCUGUCUCAGCCUCCCAAAGUGCUGGGAUUACAGGCGUGAGCCACUGCACCUGGCCAGAACAACUGUUUCUUGGGGAGGUUUUGGAUGGAGUGUCGGUCUGGUUCAUUAGCACCACCUGGUGGCUGAUGAUGUUUGUCACAUCUACUUCUUAACUGGAUGGUUGAUGUGUUUAUUUGUAGAAGCCAUGGUGCAAGAAAAAUUAAUUUAAGGACACAUUCUUGCACAUUCCAUGUGCAUAAUAGGUGCUGAAUGAGUGAAUGCCCUUGAAUUAUUUAUAUUUUGAAAGAAAGCAGGCAUAUGCAGAUCAGGAAAAGUAUUUUGCCACAUUCUUUAAAGCUUUAUAUUUUGGGAAAGUUUAAAUACUUAUUGAGAGAGGAUAUAGGGAAAGUUAAAUACUUCAUCUCUGCCCUUGGGAAAUCUUCAGGCUUUUGGGAGUAAUAUAAAUCGAAAUAUUUAGUAAUAAAAUUAUUAAGCUGGUAGCUCUCAGACUAGCUGAUUAUCAGAAUCUGGGCAGUUUUGCAAAUGCAGGCUCUCAGGCCGAUUCACUAGAGAUUCUAUUCAGGGGGUCUGGGGAAGGACCCAGGAACCUGUAUUUUUUAGCAUGCUCUCCUGUUAAUUCUGGAUAUGUUAGUGUGAACCUGAGCUGGAAUCAUCAAGGGUGGCUUCCUAGAGGAGAUGGGCCUAGAAUUGGCAUCCCUUUGCUUGGUGGUAGAGUCUCCACUGUGGGCCAAGUGUUGUGCUGGGGGCUGGGCCUCCGUGGUGAAACACAUGUGGUUCUGGGCCACCAGGAGCUCAUGGUCUAAUGUGGAAACUUUCCAAACAAGUAGUUACAGUUCAAUGAGAUUGGUGCCAAGAAAAGUAUAUGCAAAAUGAGUCCAGGUACUGAAGAGUCAGCACACGAUUUCCAGGGUGGAGACAUCCGAACCUCUCGCAGGCUUUUAGGGAGAGGAAGAGCUUGUAAGAGCACACAAAAGGGAAACAACAUGGCGCGUCUAGGGAACCAGAAAUAGUUUGGUAUGGCUGGAAUGUGGGGUAAAUACAGGAAAGUAGCACGGGACUGUGCUAGGAAGGCGAACAGGGACCAGACUGCACUCUGGCCUGAUAGCCAAGGGGAGUCAUGGCAGUAUUGUAAGCAGAUGAGCCCCCUGACUGCUGGCUUCAGGUGAAGGGUGGGGAGGGCUGGGCAGGAAGGGCAGGGCCUCUACUGAGGUGUUGUGGCUAUAGAGAAUGGAAAUGAGGCCAGGCGUGGUGGCUCAUGCCUUUCAUCCCAGCAAUUUGGAAGGCUGAGGCAGGCGGAUUGCUUGAGCCCAGGAGUUUGAGACCAGCCUGGGCAACAUGGUGAAAUGUUAAUUUCACCCAUCUAUACAAAAAAUACAAAAAAUUAGCAUAGCUGGUGAUGUAUGCCUGUAGUCCCAGCUGCUUGGGAGGCAGCAGGAGAAUUGCUUGAGCCUGGGAAGUGGAGGUUGCAGUGAGCCCAGAUCUCGCCAUUGCACUCCAGUCUGGGCAAUGGGAGUGAAACCUUGUCUCCAAAAAAUAAAGAGAGAGAGAAAAUAGAAAUUGAAAUGAGGUGCACUGGGCACUGAGGCCAGGCUCUGGGGUUGGGGCAGUUAGAAUGAUGUGCCUUUGCACACGUCUCCCUUUCCACCAGGACAUUCUGCUGUGGCCACUGGGCUCCAGAGUCUGUGAUAGGCCUCCGCCAGGGAAGAUCUCUGGCAGUGCCCCUACACACCACUCCCUACUGUGCCUGCCUACCUAGAAGAUGACGUUUCUAGGUGGGAACCAGGAUGCCGUUCCACCCUCACUGCCUGUUGGGCCCUUCUCCCUAACACCUGUCCCUAUCCCUACAGGAUGUGUGCCCCUGUGAUGGUGGAGCUGGAGGGGGAGACAGAUCCUCUGCUCAUUGCCAUGAAGGAACUCAAGUAAGUCACUCAAAUCAUGGUUCACUUCUCCAAAUCUCUGGGAGGCAUCUGUCGGGCUCUGUGUUGCACCCUUUGCUUCCACUUCCCUGGCUGGAGAAGUUGAUGCUUAUUCCUGCAGAUCCUUAGGAACAGCUCACCAGGAGGCAGGAGGAAGAGAGAAGAGGAGGCAGGGAAAGUGGGAGGGCACUGAUGAGACAGGGACCUCUUCUGACUGUUGGCAUUUCCCUGUUCCUCCUGCAGGAGGCCUUACCAAUAUUCUGUCAUUCUUCCCCCUCUUGUCUGAUAUAAAAACUUUCUUUUUCUUGUAAUUGCUUUCUUACAAAGUACACUCAUCAGCCCCAAGAGGCUGCUCCUAAGACUUCUCUUUCCUUGUGUUUUGCACACAAUCUGUUCCUUCUGCGGCAGAGCUGGGGUCACCAGCCCUCAUGUACCUGUGACUUCUCCCCUGCCACAGGGCCCGAAAGAUCCCCAUCAUCAUUCGCCGUUACCUGCCAGAUGGGAGCUAUGAAGACUGGGGGGUGGACGAGCUCAUCAUCACCGACUGAGCUGGAGUCAUCUUCCUGCCCUUGCCCCAUGCCCAAUUUUCAUUCUUACUUUAUAUGUGUAAAUAAUAAAAUAUUCAACUUUCCAACCCCCUUCCCCUCUGCUUAUCUGCAAUGUCACCACCUGUUGCUUCCCUGUUACUGCCAUGCUGCCUGGAGCAUGCACCUAUUCCAGUGGCCCUGUGACUGUCAGCUCCUUAAGAAGCACCAGGGGCCGUUAGCCCCUUUGGAUCCCCCACAUCCUUCCCUCCAUCUCCCUGUUCCCCAGAGCAAAGGCUGCUGCAGGGGAGACACCUCAGCUGCCUUCCAAGCAGACAGACGAGUCUUUGUGCCCAGGGAGCUGGUUGCCACGGAAACCCCCAAUUUCCUUUCCAGUGGGGACUGGCUGCAGGGGCUUCUCCCUUCUCAGGAGUAUCACAGAGCAGGUCUCAUCAAGCCACCCAUUGUUUCCUAAGGACCUGCUUCGAGCCUCUUAUCGUGGGCUCGGAUCCCCUUUCAGGAGCAGUGCCCCAGCAGGAAGCGUGGGGGUGUGCUGAUCUCCCACCCUCCCCAGGCAGAGCCCUGCUGGGCAAGUCAGCAGCUGGAGCAAGGACAGAGCACCUGCCUACCCCUGCCCCUGCCCCCACAGCUCUGUCCCCACUCCUUCUCAGGACGCUGCCCACACACUUUCCUCUGUGGCCCACCUCUUUGGUGUGCCACACCCAUGCCUUCUUCCCAGCCCCUAUAAGAUAUCCUUUCCCUCCUGUUUGGGGCUGGUGAUCCUCUGAGGCCUUGGGGAGAUGGUGCUGGGGUGGUGGUGCUCCUGGGUUCCAGGUGUUACAUUAAGUCAGAGCUGGAGCUCCGCCUUCCUCUGCCUGAGGUUCUAAUGGGUCCUCUUCCUUUCUCCACCCUGCUUACCCAACCUGAGGUAAGACCAGUCACACUGGCUCCUCCCUCCUAGAGGGGGUCGGGGGAGGGUGUAUAUUGACAUGAACAGGGAUAGAGGGAAAACUGGCUCCCUGAAUAUGCCAGCCUUAACCUCCAUUCCACUGCCAGCUCCCCUUCCAAGAGGAGGAGCUGGGCUUCCCUAACCUCUGCAGGAGGCAGGGCCUCCAGGCCUGGGUACAGCCUGGCCCUGGGAUGGGGUGUGGGGAGUGAAUGGUGAGCAUCUGCACUGGUGGGAGGGGUGUCUGCUGCCCUGGAGAAGGGUUAAUUCAGGGAGCAGCGGACUUCACACACCCAUCCACCCUCCUCCAAGCCUGUGGAAUCCUUUAAUCAAGUUGGGUGCUGAAAUUUCAGCUCUGAAAUGCCGCCUUUGUGCUGGCAUCCAGGCAGCCACCCCAGAGUACGGGGGUCACUUUCUCGGCCCCAUUUCUCUAAAUGGUCUCUUUGUUCCCUGCUGGGCUGCUCAGUAUCAAAUGUGAUUAAAGGGAGAUGGGGUUUGGGCUGGGGAGGAGGGGAGUUGGGGGUUAACCCUUAGGGGAUAGAACGCAAGGGAAAUGGGACAGGAGGGGUGUUUUUCCUCCUGUCUUCCUCUUCCCAUUCUCCUCUUUUGGGGAGUCCCCUGCUAUUCAGCUGUCUGGGCCUGGCUUUUGACUUCUCUUGAAUAAAAUGUCACCGGUCACCACUAUUGGUUCUGUUUUCUUAGGGUUUGGGCAUAGUCUCUUGAGUCAUUUCCAGAAACACCUGACCCUUUUUUAACAAGUGGAGCUCCUGCCUUCCUGAGGCCUAUGCACACUUGGAACCUUUGGUCUAAGGGUUGCACACAACCCAGGUCUUCUGACUUCUCUGGGGUCAUUUCCCCUCCUUCCACAUCCUCAGUGAUUUCCCACUCAAUCUCAUGAGAUGUGGGGUCUUGGAGGUGAUAGUGUCAUCUUCCGGAUGUGCCCCCUGCUCCCCACCGUGCCAGCUCCAUAUCCCUCAUCCCACUGCGAGCAGGAGUAGUGAACAGACCACAAAUGGACAAAAGUCCUGCCUUUCCAUGAAGGGGAAAGGGUGGGUUGUAAAAAUUAUAAAUACAUAAGGUUAGUACUGAUUGAUCCAUGACAAAAUUCUAGAAUAGGUCCCUCCAUGUUUAAAAGUGCUUAUAUAAUAAAGAGGAGAUCGGACGCUAGCAUAGGGUGUCUAAGAACCAAUAUUGCCAAAUAAGUUUUUUUUUCUGAUGGUUACUGGUCCAGUAGGUUGAGGGAAUGCCAGAGAUCAGUGAAUCUUGAUUUUGACAAGGCAUCGGCAGCCUCCGUCCCACUGUGACAGAGAAGCGUGUGCUUCCUGGUGAUGUAAUUAGACAGUUUUAGAACUGAUUAGACAGCCUCCUUAAGAGUGGAGAUAACAGCCGGGUGCGGUGGCUCACACCUGUAAUCCCAGCACUUUGGGAGGCUGAGGUGGGCGGAUCACGAGGUCAGGAAAUCGAGACCAUCCUGGCUAACACAGUGAAACCCCGUCUCUACUAAAAAAUACAAAAAAUUAGCCGGGUGUGGUGGUGGGCGCCUGUGGUCCCAGCUACUCGGGAGGCUGAGGCAGGAGAAUGGCAUGAACCCGGGAGGCGGAGCUAGCAGUGAGCCAAGAUCCUGCUACUGCACUCCAGCCUGGGCGACAGAGGGAGACUCCAUCUCAAAAAAAAAGUGGAGAUAAUAGGCCAGGUGCGGUAGCUCAUGCCUGUAAUCCCAGCACUUUGGGAGGCCGAGGCAAGCGGAUCAUGAGGUCAGGAGAUUGAGACCAUCCUGGCCAACAUGGUGAUACCCCAUCUCUACUUAAAAAAAAAAAAUUAGCCGGGCGUGGUGGUGCACGCCUGUAGUCCCAGCUACUUGGGAGGCUGAGGCAGGGGAAUCGCUUGAACCCAGGAGACAGAAGUUGCAGGGAGCCAAGAUUGCAACAUUGCACUCCAGCCUGGCAACAGAGCAAGACUCCAUCUAAAAAAAAAAAAAAAAAAAAAGAGUGGAGAUAAUAGAACUGACAGUGGAGAGAGGCGUUUAGUGCUGUACGCAGGUGUCCCUCUUCAUUUCAACUUUUAUUAGUGACUUGAAUGAGGCUAUUCAAGUUUGCAGAUACAUAAAGCUCUAAAGGAGAGCUAAGUUCUAAAAAGUUUAAUACAGGUGGGGAAAUGGGUCAAACCCAACAAGGUGAGAUCUGUUAAAGAUCAGUGUAAAGUCCUGCUCUUAUCUAAAACAAAACAAAAACAGCAUACAUACAAUUUGGAUAUGACUUUGCAAUGGAUAUUGUCUAAAAGAUCAGGGGUUUCGGUUACCAUCCAGCUUCACGGGAACCAGCAGUUUUGGGGAGGUUGCUUGAAGAGCUUCCACAAUGCAGGUCCUAGAUGGAGGGAUUUUGGCCACCCUGGGGACUGGGCUAGUUCUUGGUGCCCUGCCUCUCCCCCAGUCCUGACUAGGGGCUGGAGACCACAGAUGGAAGGAAGGGAGCUGAGGAUGCCCAGUCUGGAGCAGUGGAAGACGCAUUGCUCCAGAUACAAAGCAGAAGUAGGGUCUGCAAACCACAGGCAUGUGGAGGGGAUGAUGGUUAAAAAUGCAAGCCUUGGAGUCAGAGCUGGGUUCAGAUUCUGGCACCAGCACUUCUUAGCAUCAACCUCUCAAACUUCAGUUUCCCCAUCUGGAAAAUUGAGAUAACGAUCGGACCUACCCCUUCACUGGCCCGAAUGACAUAAAACCCUUGGUGGAGCACUUAGUAAAUGGCAGCUGGAUAUAAACUGUUAUGAGCUGCGUAUGAAGAAGAACUUCCAACCAUCGGAGUUGUUCAUCAGUGGAGCAAGAUGGCAAAGAGAUUUCCCCUGUCCUUGGAGUUGUGUGCUUGUGAGGUGGAGUGGUCCUGGCCUCUGGGUGCAGUUUGGACUUCUGCUGAGGAAAGAGCUCUUAGGGAGUAGGCGCUUAAGGAGUAGACUGUCUGACAUCCUUGGUCUAGACUUGGACACGGGCAGCUGCUGUGAAGGCUUGGCUAGAUCCUGGUGUGGGCUGCUGUGUGUGUGCUGGGGGAGGUGGCAAGUGGGGGGAUCUAGCAACACAGGGCCUAUCCACACAUACUGAAGGACAGGCCUCUGACUGCAGGCAGCACGGUGUCACCCUCAGCCCACCUCCUCCUCUUCAGAUACCUGUCUCUUGAAUUCUUUGCAAACUCCCCUCUGCUGAGUGCUGGGUGAGCUUGCAAGGCAGUGAGUUCUAGCUGAGCCAGUUAAGAGUGAGUGGCCUCGCUGCAGUGUGAGGCACAGCAGGGCUGGGGAGAAGUUCCCAUCUGAGGCUUCAGUCCCUGAGCUCAGAGGACCCCUCUGGAAUGCCAGCUGUCCUAACACUCUCCAUUGUUCCCACUUUCUUAGCAGGGAGAGAGAGAGAAAGAGAGAGAGGAGAGUGGGAGUGGGGAGAGAGAGAAAGAAAGGAGAGGGGAGGGGGAGAGAGAGGGAGGGGAGAGAGAGGAGAGGGAGGGGGGAGAGAGAGGAGGGGGAGGGGAAGGGGGUGGGGAAAGGGAGGGAGUGGGGGAGAGAGAGACCUUUGAUGAUCUGUCCUUUGCAUUCUACUCCUAGCUACUUCCAGAAAGCAUUUGAGGAAGCACCAGUACAGGGAUAAGAGAUGAAGAGACAGGCCAGGUCAGGCUCACCAAGCAGGUAACCGGAACCUUUAAUUUUAUUAUGCGGAAUGCUUAAUGUAGAGUUAAUAGGGGCUAGAGUGGCUAGGAGAGGGGACUACUGAGAUAAAUAACAGGAGACAGUAAUGAGUUACAUGUGGAUUUGGGGGGCUGCAGAACAGGAAAAUAGGGGCAGAUAUAGCUACAUACUUUAUUCAAAUACCACUGGGAGGCAAGGGGUAAGAGGCAAGGGCAGAAUGUACAGGUCAGGAUUCUAGUGUUUUCAGCCUGCUGACAGCAACCUGGGUGCCGGGCCCUGUGUCUCCUGGAGCCAAGGGUUAGGGCCUGAGCAGCUGUCACUCUCUGGGAAGCCCAGGGAGUGGGGCUGACUGAGCAGGGGCCGUAGAGCCUAGUAAGGGAAGAGGGAGCUGGCAAGGAGCCCAGGGAGGGAGGCUCUGUGAAUUGUCUCUGAUUCCUUUCCUGGAGCCCCUGCCUCGUCACCUCCUGGGAUGCGUCUCAAGGUCAUGGAGGUUGUAGUGGAGGAGGACUGGGGGCUCUUUCUCAAUUAGACAAAGAAUGAGGUUAUUGGCACAGAAUUGGAUCUGGGGGCCUCUGUGCCAACUCCUUCCUGCCUUUGGAAAGGGAGGGGGCAUUGAAGGGAUGAGAACUCCACUAAGUCCCUCGAACCCCCCACUCCCCAAUGAGGCUCCUCAAAGCUACUCUCAGCCCCUGAGUGGGAGACACGGCCAGCUCCGGGCACAGUCUCUGGGUGGCCUAGCCCUUAGGCACUGUGGCAUAGGUGGCGUGGGCAUGUCAGACCCUCACUAUCUGUGAGAGAGAAAACAGGAGUCAUAGGAGUGGUAAGGCCUCCGAUGCCACCAACCCUGAUGCUUCCCCUCCCCGAGGAGGGUGAGCAGGUCCUUCUCAGGUCCUGGGAUAGAGGGUCAUUCCUGGGGGAAGGUGCAGCCCCUCAUCUUUCAGUGUGGGUGCAACAGUCAACCUCCUUCUCCUCUGUCCAGCCUGUUCUCCUGGGGCUUUGCUGCUGGAGCCUGGAUGGGGCGGGUGGGUCAUCAGGGCAGUGAGCCAGACAGAAAGCCCCCCGACCUGUCAGCCUCUUCAGCCUCCUCAGCCUCCUCCACUGCCACCGCCAGGCCUGAGGUGGGCAAGGAACAGGGCACACAGGCUGGGGGCAGGGGCUGGGCGGGGGGGUGGUGGCGACAGGGCCCCCUUUAGGGCCGGGACAGCGUCGUAUAUACUGGCUGCUCCCAGUGUGUGGGGCUGUGGGACUGGGGCCCUGAGGGGCUGGGGUCAGAGAUGGCCGUGUAGAGGGGCCGCUGCGAGGGCCCCAUAUAGGAGAAGGCCGAGUAGAGGCCAGAGGCCUGGCCUGAGUGGCCGUAAUAUGGUCCUGAGGGCUGAUGGUCAGAGUAGUCAAACUGGGGGCGGGAGAUGGAGGGGAAGGCUGAGCCAUAGUGGGGCAGGCUGAGGGAGGUGUAGGCGAUCUGUGAGGUGGAUGGCUGGUCGGUGUAGUGUGGGGGCCCCUGGGGCCCCGCGGUCUCAGUCUUCACCUGGGCUUUGGCAUCCACACCAGGUGGUGAGACCGUGGGCAGAGCCACGCCUGGUGGCUUGGAGAUCCAGGCAGAGUGUCCACUGGCCACGGCCAGGGCGCUGCCCAGCCCAUAGCCGGCUGCUGAGUAGCUGCCCACGUGGCCUGGGUGCCCAUUGGGCGGCAGGUACUGGUCCAACUCAGCCACAUCAAAGGUCUCCAUGUUGGACAUUACCUCGUGGCUGAUCUCACCGAUGUCCACGUUGCCGAAGUCGAUGUGAGGCUUCCCGCCCUCCCCCAUGGAGCGCCCGUCCCGCUUCGGGUCUGCCUUGCCCGACUGCAGCUCUGUCUUCGGGGUGGUUGGAGGGGUGGGUGGGCCAUGGCUCUGGCCUGGGUAGAAGGGAGACAGAGCGCAAGGGGGAAGCAGGUUAGAGGCAGGUGGGCGCACGUGAACUUCCACGGUUCACCUUCAGGCAGCGGGUGCCUCUGGGAAAACCUUGUAAGUUUCACAUUUUGGCAGCAUGAGUCGGGGUUUGUUUUUUGUUUUUUGUUUUUUUGAGACGGAGUUUCGCUCUUGUUGCCCAGGCUGGAGUGCAGUGGUGCCAUCUCAGCUCACUGCAACCUCUGCCUCCUGGGUUCAAACGAUUCUCCUGCCUCAGCCUCCUGAGUAGCUGGGAUUACAAGCGCCCACCACAAUGCCCAGCUAAUUUGUGUAUUUUUAGUAGAGACUGGGUUUCACCAUGUUGGCCAGGGGUGUCUUGAACUCCUGACCUCAGGUGAUCCACCUGCGUCGGCCUCCCAAAGCGCUGGGAUUACCAGCGUGAGCCACUGCGCCCCGCAGCAUUUGUUUAAAUACUGGUGUCUUAGAUUGAUCUCUAGUUGUUUAUGAAAUUCUCAAAUCUUAGGGAUGGGUCCUGGGGAGGCCUGCCUCAUUCUGAAAAAACCUUUCUUGUGGAAAGUUCUUCCUUUCAUCAGCUUCUCUGCUGUCCAGGUGGUCUGGCCCGGCCUUUGCGCUCUGCCAGCCCCGCUUCCACACCCAUGCCGACUGUCUUCCUUGCUGAGCCUCGCUCGCCCAGGCUCCUGAGUGCUCUUUUUCACCUUUGCUGGUUGCCUGGGCCUGCUCACUGUCCUGGCCUCGUGUUGUGUCCUUUCCAACCCUUCCCUCCUCCUGAGCCCACCCUGCUUCCCAGCCCACUGGCAGGCCCUUAGCCCUGUCAUACGCUGGCCUUUGUUGCCCUGUCGUUCCUUGAGCUGCCUUCCUCCAUGGGAGGGCACUUAGAAAACUGGUCCUUGUUCCUUUGUCUGUUCACUUUCCUAUUCACAUAUUAAUUUAGCAAACUCUUAGGGAGCAUUAUAAAACGCCAGGUACUGUGCCAGAUGCUGGGGAUACAAAUGUAAAUAAAAUGGAUCCCUGUUCCCAAAAGCUCAUAGUCUAGUCAUAGAUCCACAUGCGCCCAGAGUUGGAAGUACUGUGGUGACAAUAUGCAAGGACUUGGGAGACCAGAGGAGGAGUCUAUCCGCUGCCUCAGGGAUUUGGGGAAGGUCUCAUCGGGGAAGGAUGUCUGAGUGGGGUGGGGCCUUGAAGGGUGAGAAAAAGUCUGUGUCCAGUUUCAUUCUGAGGUGGUUGCUCUGUAUGUGGUCCAGGGUCUCCUGAUGUGUGUGUGUCCCUGAAUCUUUGAAGGUGAAGAGUAUGUACACGUGUGUGGGAGGGAUGACUGCCUGGCAUCCCACUGGAGACAGAACAUGUCCAUGGUCUUAAGAGACUAGGAGCUCCCCAAGGACAGGCCUGUGCCUCCUUCAUCAGACCAGAGGCAGCGCCAAAUCCUGCACUGGCCAAGGGCUCUGUACUUCAAGAGACCUGCCUAGGCUUUUGAAUCCUGGUUCUGUGUCGGGACAAAUCCCCAGUCUUCUCUUAACCGGUUUCCUUAUCAGUAAAAUAGAGAUUGUACCAAGCAGCCCAGGCAUUGUCUCUUUCUGGAAGCCUUCCUUGACAAGAGUCUGGUGGGCAGUGGGGUGUUCUUGGAGACCUGACUGGAUGGGAUGGAUGGCCGUGCCACCUCUGGAUCUUGUGCACUUGUUUCUAUAACUAUAUAUAUAUACACACACUAUAUAUAUAUAGUAAGAGAUAGGAGGCUGGGCGUGGUGGGUCAUGCCUGUAAUCCCAGCACUUUGGGAGGCUGAGGUCAGGAAUUCGAGACCAGCCUGGCCAAUAUGGUGAAAAACCAUCUCUACUAAAAAUACAAUAAUUAGCGGGGUGUGGUGGCGUGCACCUGUAAUCCCAGCUACUCAGGAGGCUGAGGCACAAGAAACACUUAAACCCAGGAGGCAGAGGUUGCAGUGAACCAAGAUGGCACCGCUGCACUACAGCCUGGGCAACAGAGCAAGACUCCAUCUCAAAAAAAAAAAAAAAAAAAAAAAAAAAAAGACACAGAGUCUUACUACAUUGCCCAUGCUGGUCUCAAACUCAUGGGCUCAGGUGAUCCUCCUACCUCAGCCUCCUGUGUAGCUGGGACUGCAGGUGCAUUCCACCAUGCCUAGCUUUGUUUCUUCCUGUACUUAAUUCACUCGUUUUCAUCCCUGCUCCUCUCUCUAGACUAUGGGCCCCUGAGGCCAGGGACUGUAGGCUUCUCUGGUUAGUACCCCUGGUGUCCACUCCAGUGUCUGACACAAAGUAGGACUCAGAGCGUGUCCUCUGAAGGCAGAGCUCUGCUCACUGAGCACUUCCCGUGUGGCAGACCUGUGUGUGUGUCACUUUCUGUACAUUAGGAACACAGGCAAGGCAGCUGUGGUGCCAAGCAGAAGCCCUGGAGCCAAACUGGGGAAGUUCCUGUCUGUUUCUUAUCAGUAAAAUGAGAGUAACUUGCCACAGCUGAGAUCUGAGCCCAGGCAGUUUGGCUACCUCAUCACAUUGUUUGCAAUGAUUGAGUUAGUAUACAUAAGGCAACUAGCACCUAGCACAGUGCCUGGAACAGAGUAGGUACUCAAUUAAUGAUAGCUGUUAUUAUCAUUAAUGAAAAUUAAACAAGAUAGCUUAUGUCUGGCAUAAGGCCAGACACGGCAUCACAUGCCAUGUCUCCUCUGUCAGAAUGGCUGGUGGGAUUUGGGAGGCUGAGGCGGGCAGAUUGCCUGAGCUCAGGAGUUUGAGACUGGGCCUGGGAACUACAGUGAAACCCUGUCUCUGCUAAAAUACACAAAAUGAGCCAGACGUGGCGGUGUGCACCUGUAGUCCCAGCUACUUGGGAGGCUGAGACAGGAGAAUUGCUUGAACCCGGGAGGAAGAGGUUGCAGUGCACCGAGAUCAUGCCACUGCAGUCUAGCCUGGGCGACAGAGUGAGACUCUCUCCAGAAAAAAAAAAAAAAAAAAAAGAAUGGCUGGUGGGAAAGAGGCAGUGAUUUCCUCUCCUCCAUUUGAUCUUCCAUUUCUCAAAACCAUCCUGUCUUCUCCCCCUUUCGUUGUAACUGCCUCAGCCACCUCUCACUCCAUGACCUCCAUAGUCUUUUUUUUUUCUUUGAGACGGAGUCUUGCUCUGUCGCCAGGCUGGAGUGCAGUGGCGCGAUCCCGUCUCACUGCAAGCUCCGCCUCCUGGGUUCACGCCAUCCUCCUGCCUCAACCUUCUGAGUAGCUGGGACUACAGGUGCUCGCCACCACGCCCAGCUAAUUUUUUUUAUUUUUAGUAGAGAUGGGAUUUCACCAUGUUAGCCAGGAUGGUCUCUAUCUCCUGACCUCGUGAUCUGCCCUCCUCGGCCUCCACAGUCUUUAACUGGCCCUCUUUGCCCAGUAGGAUCAGCCCUGGCCACAGCCAUUUCUCCCAGCCACUUCCCCUGGCACCGGAACCCCCAUGGAGCUCCCUCUGGGCCCCUGCAGCUCUGCUGGGGCAAUUGCACAGCCUGGCACACUCUCCCUAGAGUCCAGGGUCUCAAUGCCAUCCAGCCAUCUCCUCUCUCCACUGACUGGCCUUGCCCCACCCUCAGCUCUGUCAUCAGCACUCACCUGAGGGGUGCUCGGGGUUCCCAUCUGACAUGGGGGAGCCCUCUCCUGGGUGCCGGUGGUCCAAGUGGGCGCUCUUGUAGUGGGCUUGGAUGGCGGCGGUCCCACCUUGCUCGGCCUCCCCACCAGGGCACUCUGCCUCACCCUGGGCGGCCUUCCCGUUCUUCCGCCGCCUGGGCUGGUACUUGUAGUCCGGGUGGUCUUUCUUGUGCUGCAUACGGAGCCGCUCAGCCUCCUCGAUGAAGGGGCGCUUGUCACUUUCGUUCAGCAGCCUGGGGUGUGGUGGGAGGCGGAGAGGACAGCAGAGGGGCUGGCGUGAGUGCCAGAGCACUCCAGGUUGGCCUCCCUCUGAGUGUCCAUCUUGGAAGAUGUGAGGCCCUGGGAUGGGGCACCCAGAGGACAGGAUCCGGGAUAGGGGCUGUGCCCUAUGAUUUAUGGACUGAGAGAUGUGAGGCCCAAGGAAUAACAGCCUCAGAGGGCUGCCCCCAAAUCUUUCAUGGGCUGGAGGGUGAGAGAGGGGUCAGCCCGCUGUUCCUGGCAGCCCCUGAGGAGGAGUUAGAAGUAGGAGUAGAGGUUUCAAGGGGCAGAUGCCAGUUGAGGGAAAGGAAAAACUUUCUCAUCAUCAAAGCUGUCUGCAAGUGGAAUUGGCUACUUCAUUAGGGGGUGAGCUCCCUGGGACUGAGGGCGGGCAAUAGAAGCAGCAUGGCUGGGGGAGAACUCAGUCUCUGCUACUUACUAGCUGUGUGUGUGACCUUGAGCAAAUUACUUCUCUGAGCCUGAGUUUCUUCACCUAUAAAAGGAUGAUAACAUUGGCUUAACUUGGGUGUGGGAUUGGCCAGAAUAAUGGAUGUGAGAUGCCUUGCACCAGGGCCUGGGAAGCAGGCUGAGCACCUUGAGAAAGAGGUGCUUUUCUUUCUUUUUUUUUUUUUUUUUUUCUGUGAGGGAUUCUCACUCUGUCACCCAUGCUGGAGCUCAGUGGUACGAUCUCAGCUCACUGCAACCUCUGCCUCCCAGGUUCAAGUGAUUCUCGUGCCUCAGCCUCCCAAGUAGCUGGGAUUACAAGCAUGCGCCACCACGCCCGGCUAAUUUUUGUAUUUUUAGUAGAGAUGGGGUUUCACCGUGUUGACCAGGCUGGUCUCCAACUCCUGACCUUAGGUGAUCUGCCCGCCUUGGCCUUCCAAAGUGCUGGGAUUACAGGCAUGAGCCAUUGUGCCCAGCCCAAGAGGUGCUUUUCUAUUUUUUAUUUUUUAUUUAUUUAGAGACAGAGUCUCACUCUGUCGCCCAGGCUGGAGUGCCGUGGUGCGGUCUCAGCUCACUGCAACCUCCGCUUCCUGAGUUCAAGCGAUUCUCCUGCCUCAGCCUCCCGGGUAGCUGGGACUACAGGCACGCACCACCCUGCCCAGCUAAUUUUUGUAUUUUUAGUAGAGACGAGGUUUCACCAUGUUGGCCAGGCUGGUCUCCAACUCCUGACCUCAGGUGAUCCACCCACCUUGGCCUCCCAAAGUGCUGAGAUUAUAGGCAUGAGCCACUGCGCCCGGCCCCAAGAGGUGCUUUUCUAAUGCUGCUUGCGGGGGUGGAUGGACAGGAGGAUCUAGGGGUGGCCUCUUAACUCUGGGUCCUGAUUGUGUGAAUUCCAGUGUGGUGGGACUGAGGGGGCAGAUGUGGCUCCUCUUUACCAUGGGUUGGGGUGGGGGGCACUGCCUCCUGGGGGGAUCCUAUAUCCUUGUCCAGAAGAUAGCAGAGAGUAGAGGAAGCUAGCCUCUCCUCAGACCCUGAAACAGUCCCUGAAACCAACACAUGGAGAGAAGAAGCCCUGAAGCCAGCACCCUUGCCACCGACUCCAGCCUCAGGCCAGGGUUGGAGGGUGGAGGGCAUUUAGGGUUUGGCUGCCCCAGGGUGAGGAGGGCAGGAUGGGGUACCUUACAGAGGGGGUCGAGGGGAAAGUCCAGAUUCUAGAAUCCCAGACCUUGGUACUGAGAAUCCAUGAGUCUUCGUGGGAGCAGCCUUGUCUGUCAGUCCAGAGGGCUUGUCUCUCCAGCUGCCCCACCCCUCACACCCCAGUGAGUGCCCUCUUCCCCCAGUCAGCAGAAGGCUGAGCCCUCCCUCCCCAGGCUGGGCGGGGGUGGUCAUGCCAGGCACCUCCUAGCCGGCAGCAGCAUUCUUCUGCGGCUUAGCCUCCCUGUCUACUCCCCCCACCCCCGCCCUGAGCCCAGCCCUAGCCCCAGCUUUCUCAGAGGGUCCCUCCAGCCGAGACUCUAUCAGAGUCAGUGUACACACUUAGGACAAAGAUGCCGGAGCAGGGCCUUGAGAGUCAGGGAGUGGGAUGUGGGCACCCUCUCUGAUGGCUGGGACCAGGGGAAGGGGUGGAGCAGGCCUUGAGGGUGUGACUGGGGAGAACCCACAGAGGAGAGAGCUGCUCCGCCAGCAGCGGACCCCAGCAGAGGGGCUUCUGGGAUGGCUGGGGACAUGGGACACAGAGCUUACUCUCUCACCUAUCCUUCCCUUGCCCCCUGCCCAGCUGGCAGCCAGCAUCAGCAAGAAAGUGACAGGGGUCAGAAGAGAGGGAGGAUUCCAACAUCAGAUUCCACUGCUACCUCCUAAGCUAGUUCCCAGCAUUAGCCUAACCCUGACAGAAAUCUAAGCCCGGGGCCACUGCCAUCCCCGACCCCAGCUCCCUCCUCCACCAGCUGUGCCAGACAGCUGAUUCCACCUCCACCCCAACCCCAAACCCAGCCUGCCCACCAUGUAAACCCAAUCUCCAGCACCAGUCCCCACUCAACAUUACCAGCCCCGAACCCCCAACGUCACCUUCAGCUCUCACUCCAAACCCAGUCCUCAUUUGCACCUUCCUGUCAGCCCUCUUUCUCCCUGGUCUCCCAGCUUUGGAAUGGGGGCGAGAAGAGGUAGGCCGAUGCCUCACCCAAACUGGAAACCCCAACCGGGGAGCUCCCACAGUGGAGCACUGAUUGCUGCUACCUGUGUCCUGCUAGGCCAGGGGCAUAAGAAGACUACUUGGGGAAGGGGUCUGUGGCACUGGGAACAGAGGCUGGGUGACCCCCACCACACAGGAGGGACUCUUGCCUGUGUCCGCCUUUCCAGUUUCUUGGCUCUGGUUCUUUCCAGGCAGAUCAGCCAACCCACAGGCACCACCCUGUGAUCAACCUCUACUAGCCCCUCCCCAGAUGGGCAUCAAAGGUUAGUGUGACUGUUGGGGCUCACAUGGCCCCUUAGGACCUGGGCUCCACUGUGUCUGAUCCCACACUCCCUUGGGGCACUCCACACAGUCUGUGUGUAUCUUUCUCCUUUUGGUUUUAAGACACCUGUUUUCCAGCUCUGCCUACCUAACCACCCCCCUUCUUGACAUCCCGGGAGUCACAGCUUGGGGAGGUUUCAGGAGAAGCCCCUGGAGCAAUUGGCCAGCCCAGCCCAAAUCCAAAUAUCUCUCAGGACCCCCCUCCAGGGUUCAGGGAGCCACCCUCUGUUGGCAUUGCCUUUGAUCCUUGCCAUGGUUCUGGCCCCAUCCUCCCCCUGGGAUUGGGUCCUCAGCAAGUAGUGCCAGUUUUCCUGACUGCCACACCUCAGGCUGGCCCCUGUGCACACAGCUUGAGUGAUGGCCAAGAAUAAGUCCUCCUGAAGGAAGUCCAAGCCCAGGGUUCUGGGCUGGGGGAACCUGGGGACAGGGACAAUGGAGGAGCCAAUCUUAAACCCUUGGCAAUGGGAGAUGGAGGGAGAAUGAGGUCCGUCCUUGCUUUGACUCUCGUUGGGCUCAUACUGUGGUCUUCUCAUGGUCCCCAGGGUCUGCCCUGUCUGUAUGUCUCUCCUGGUUGUCUGUUUCUCACUUGCUCUUUGUCCCCUGGCACUAAAGGUACUGGCCUGGGCCAAGCCCCACCCAGAUCUGGAUGGACCUUGGGCGGAGGAGCUAGCUGUGACCUCUGCUCUUGGGCAGAACUGGGCUGUCUGGGUCCACACAGCAGGCUGGUCGCUGAGCCCUGGGCCUGCCCUGGGUGAGCAGGGCACUGAGGGCUGAGAAGGGGCAGGGGAAGGGGCACCAAGUCUUCAGCAAACACAUGGCAAGAACAGGCCAGGGGGCUGGAUGUGAAUCUUUUGGUCUCUUGGAGACCCUCCUGCACCUCCUACCACUCUUAAGUCUCUAGACCCAAUCUCUACCCAACUGUGGCUGGCAAGGGGGAGGGCAGCAGAAGAGAGCCGUGCUCCUCUGACAAAGCCCUAAUUUUCUGGAACCCAGAUGCUCCUCACUCUUGUUCUCAUCUUCUUGCUUCCCCCCAACCUCCUGACCACUCCUCAGAGUGUAGGUGAUCCACCACUGUCACCAGGGUCAGGGGAAGUCCUCUGGACAGAGAGUAUGGGAGUCCUGGGUUCUGGCCCUGGCUCUGCUACCAACUUCUAUGUGACCUUUGCGAUUCCUUUGCCUUUCUGGGCCUGUCUCUUGGCCAGUCUAGCGAGAAUCAGGUGACUGCUACCGGCUCACAUCUCCUGGAGUCCCUGGUCUCUUUCAGAACUGCUCUGGCACUCCCGGGUGGGAGUGGGGUACUGUCUUGUUACACACAUCCCCAGGAGGCCUGGCUGAACCCCAGACCUGAGUCGAGGGUGGGAGAAUUGCUCCCUGCGGGGGAUGUUUUUCCUAGAGGUGUGGGCUGGUCUCAGGGAACCUGGGACUCUGAGGGCCACUGGGCAGGAAGGGGGCCAAGGUUUCCUUCUGGCCAGAGUGCUCAGGUCCAGCUCUGGGGCAGUGGGGAAGAGGUUGCUCAACGUUGGGGUGGGGCCCUGGCAGAGAAGAUGGCGCCGAACUGGGAGAGGGAGGAAAGGAAAGAGAUCAGCUUGGUGACUCUGAGGCAGGGCAGGAGUGGGAGCCCCUUUCUGUGUGUCCUUUCCCUAGGAGGAUGAAGAAGCCCCCAACUCAAAGGAGGGUGGCGUCAGAAAGUCCCAAGGAAGACCCCUAGGAUAGGAUGAGAUCCUGCAGCAGCAGAUUUGUCCCCGCAGUUCUUCAUCCCUCACUCUUCCAAAGACUCUCAUCUGAAUUCCUUGUUUUCUUUAAAUCUCCCCUGAGUUCUCCAUCUGACUGCCUCAGUUUCCCUGAAUCUCCAGCCAACCCUCUGGUUCUUUCCAAGCGUUUCCCUCGUAUCCUCCUGACCACAGCAGCUCGUGCAUGAGUGUGCGUAUCUGUGGGCAGGGAGUUAGUGAAGGCCUCCUUCCCUCCCUCCAAAGCCCCAGGCCCCACGGUCUGCCACCCGCAAAAUUCCAACCACGAGGGGGCGCCUUCCUGCCCGCCGCCCCGUAGGGAGACCCGGCCUAGGCCCCUGGAGUUGCGAGUUCCAGGGUCCUUGUGGUGGAAGGGCGGGCGCGGCCCCCACACCUGGUCUUCCAGCCCUAUCCAAGGAGGACUGCCAAACAGUCCCGCUCUGAGGUGCAGGAGGCCGGGCCGCCUCGGCUACCCUGAAUCCACCCGAAGCUAGAGGGCCCGAGCCCGGGGGGCGGUUGGGUGCUCACCUCCAGAGCUUGCCCAGCGUCUUGCUGAGCUCAGCGUUGUGCAGGUGCGGGUACUGGUCCGCGAGCUUCCUGCGCGCUGCCUGCGCCCACACCAUGAAGGCGUUCAUGGGCCGCUUGACGUGCGGCUUGCUCUUGCUGGCGCCGUUGACGCGCACGGGCAUGGGCACCAGCGUCCAGUCGUAGCCGCUGAGCACCUGGCUGACGGCCUCGCGGAUGCACACGGGGAACUUGUCAUCGUCCGCCUCGCCGUCCUGCUGCUCCUUCUUGACCUUGCCCAGCUCGCCUGGCCCCGGGCUGGUUCGCAGGCCCGAUCCGCCGCCGCCGCCGUCGGGCCCUAGCGAGGGCGCGCUCCCCGGGGACAGGCAGCGAGGCUCCUCCGAGCCCACGGGGCUCAGCUCCACCUCCGAUAGGUCUUGCUCCUCCGCCAUGUCGCCCCCGGCCGCCGCCGCCGCCUCGGCCGCCUCCCCCGGGCCAGCCGCCGGGGUCCUCGCAAAGAGUCCAACGCCCACCUGGAUGGAAGGAGGGCGCGAUGGAGCGGCCGCGCGCGCAGCCCCGAGGGCAGCCCGAGACAGGACACGGGCACAGCCCCGAGGUGGCGGCCCUUCCUGCUCCAGCUAAACCCACUCUGGCCUCUGGGGCCCACGCACAUGCCAGACUCUAGGUGGGUGCGUCCCGCCUCUGCGUCUUCCCACCACCUGGUCCCAACCGUCUCUUGGUGUGGGUGGCUUUUUUUUUAGUCUCCUUUUUUGGGUGGAGGUUUGUUGAUGAUAAGGAAGAAAAAAACGGAACCUUUAUUUUGCUCUAAUACCGGCCCCUGGAAUUUCCCACCUUUUCUCUCACCUUUCCUUCUUCCCUCAGCCUGCCCCAACGGGGUUUAGAGGAGAGCCAGGUGGGGGGCAAGGGCGGGGUGUCGCCUCUCUCCACCUCACAGCAGGGUCCCAGGCCUGGGCGGGCCAGGGAGGAGCAGGCUGCGCACUCACCUCCUCGGACCUCUCCUCCAGUCUGGGGCUCGUCCUUAGGAAGUGGAAAACCGUGUCCCAAGGUGUGCGGUCCAGCUCGGGGCUGGGAGGUGACGCUGGUGGGCUAGGAGGGAGGGGCGGGGGGCCCUGAGCCUCAGGCCACGGCCUCGUUAGGACGGAGCCUGAAUCCUUACCACCAACCACCCUGGCCGGACAGCCCGAGACUGACUGAGCGACUGAGCCGCUGCAGAGGGCUGGGGAAGGAAGGAGGGGGAGAGGGGGGAGGGGAGAGGAGGGGAGAGGAGGGAGGGAAGGGCAGAAGGUGGAGCCUCCAGGCUUUCCUUCAUCCCCAACACUCAGGGCUCCUCCACCCGGAGCCCAGGCCCCCCCCGCACCCAGCUCCCUGCCCUACUGCCCAGGCCCAUCUUGCUGGGGCUUAUCUUGGGCUUAGUCUGGGAGGCAGAGGGGAGGUUAGGCCGAGGAAGGAAGAGAUGUAGGCUGGAGGGUCAGAACCUGUUGGAUGGAAGAAAAUUGGGCCCAACCAGGACUCCUAACGUCUGCCUCAGGUGGCAGGAUGGGCACUUGGCAGGGGACUAGGGAGAGACGUGAAGGCGGUGAGGGUCCUCUGGGCCCUUGAGGGUGGCUGGCCUGAGCCGCUUCAUCUGCGAAAUCCUGUUGAGUGCCUAGUGUGUGCCAGGCACUGAUGCCCAGCUCCUCACCCUGCCUCCUACCUUUUCCCAGGCAGCCCUUUCUGCCCCAUCCUGCACAGUAAGAGAGACUUCUCAGGGCUCCCUCUGAGAAGUGCAGAGCCCCAGCUUGACCCCUGGUCCCUUCUCUGCAGACACCCAGCACACACACGUUCUGGUCUGGUUCAAGGUGGAAACACAAGACUAAAGCUGCCAGGAGGCCAAGGUGGGACAGGGUGGGGGCCCCCUCUCAGUAGGUCUUAGAGGCAUUUUGGGUUGCUACCUCCUGGGACCCACCUCCUUCCACACUGGGCUCACCCUGUCUUGGGAGAGGGUAGGGGAGUCCUAGUCCUGAUUGUCACGAAGUCCUCUACUCCCCCACCCCAACAAGGGGUGGGGACUUGCCCUGCCUCUUCCCUCCUCUGCCGACCUCUCCCUCCCUGCCCUUUUCUUUCCUGUCCAUGCUCCGUUGACACCUUUUCCUCUGUCUUUCCUUGGCCUCUCCUCCAAAGGCCACAGUGCUGUUCUCUUAACUGAGGGCAGCACCGCUGGGGUGUUGAGGCCGAGGUGGGGUGUAUGUGGGGUAUGGAAUGGAGCUGGGGCCACAUUGGCAACUAUGUGUCAUUCUGAGCUCCUCAGCAGCUGGGCAAGGCCCCAAGCCCACCCCAAGGGGUCCUGUCUGGAGUGGGCUGCAAGGGGUCUGGGGAGGCAAGGCCUCAUGCUUGGGAAAGGCCAAAGGGGUGUGGGGGGUGGGAAAUGGGACACAAUGAGGUAGUCACACGAGGCAGAGGCAUGUUGGGGUGGGGGGAGCGGACACUGGAACACACACACACACACACACACACACAUGCUCACACACACAACCAGCCAGACAAUCGGGCCAGUGUGUCUGGGGCCUCGGAGCCCAGUGAAUUAGGAGUUUGAUAAGGGUUUUCUCUUUCUCUCGCUUGCUGGCCUUGGACAAUCUCCCCCCAGUUUUCCUCGACGCCACCCCCGGCGCUGCCAACCCUCCUCCCCCCGCCUCCCUUCUCUUCCCUGUGCCCAGACUCUUGUUCGGGGCCUUGAAACAGUGAGCUGUCUUUGUUCGAAAUACAGGUGAACGGCAAUCAUGUGAUUAACACACACACACAUAAAAAGCUUUUUAACAGCGCCCGCUCGGCCUCAGAACCGCCCGGAGAGGAGCCGCCCUGGAUGGACAGAGGGACGAGGGACGAGCAUCUGCCCAGUCGUGUCCCGGCUGCCCUGCAGUCGCCUCCAACACCCGCUGCUGCCCGCCCGCUGCCUGCCUGCCUGGCAUCUCUCUCUCCCGGUGGGUCCCCACUCAUCCUUCCACCCCUCAGUUCCUCCUCUUUGAGGAAAGGACCUCCCCGCUCUCUGCUGUGUCUGUGACUGGCCUGAGACCCCCCUGGGGCAGGAGGGGUGGUUGUGGAGGGAAAGAGCCCAGAGUUAGGAGGUGGAAUGUGGGGUCCCACAGCUGCCCCCUCUCUAACUCCCUGCUUCCUCCUUUGCCCUCCUUGGUCCAGCUGUGCCAGGAUGGGGGUUGGGGUAGCAGUGGGCACGCUCUGUCUGCAGGAAGCCACGCUAGACAGAAGGGGCCACUCCCUCUCUCCCUUGUCCUCGCACAGACACUGGCUUCCUCUCAGGGCUGUGCUGGGCUUUUUGCUGAGCAGUGUUGGGUGAGGCAGGUGGGCCUGCAGGCGGGGUGGGAAGGGCUGUCAGAUGACCAGUGCUGUGUGUGUGGUUGGGGCCCCUGCUGCAAACACAUCCCUGCCCACCAUGCUGGCAACUGGGGUCCCCUCCAUCCCAUCCCAGGCCCUGGGAACCCAGUGUUCUCCAGCAGGGGAGGGUGAAGGACCCACACUCAUUCGUGAAGAGCAGGGAGCUUGGAGAGGGGAGGGAUCCUGGCUGAAGACACCUGGGCCUCUGCCCCAGCAGGACAACAGGAGGGCCAGUGUCACCUUCUGCUCCUUUCCCUGCUGGAGGUGGCAGGGGUCCCUUUACCCCUCAUUCUUGACCCUUCUCCAGGGAUGCUUGUGACCUCCUUACCCCACCCCCCAUCACCUCUCUGUCCUGAAGUGAGGGUUCGUCACCGUCCAUGGCAAGGUGUGGUGUCUGGUAGGCUGUGACCUGCCCUCUCUCAGGGUGUUUAUUCCGCAGCAGAGAGGGGUCUGCGGUCUGAGUGUAAUGGUGGAAAUCCAGGCUUCCUUCCAUGGCCCAAGGAGGCCUUUCCGGAGCAACAGGGUUUUCCUGGGACUCGGCCUGGCUUUUGUUAAGGCAGGUCCCAGAUUUGCUCAGAAGAUGGGCCCCAGAGAGGAGGAGAGGAAAGGAAUACCUGUCAGUCAAACGUGAAGCCCACUGGUGACACUGCCUGGCAGAGCUGCCUCCGGUCAGCAGUGACCCUUCACCCCCCAGCUCCCAAGUCCUCUUCCUGAGGGAGCUGGCCCGGCUUUAUGGAAGGCUCUGCCUGUGUUCCCCACCUUGGGUCCCUGGUCCCUCACCUGUCACAUGGGGCGAUGGUCACCGUCCCUCCCUGCCUGCCCUGCAGGAAACACUGAGAUGAAGGUCAGGAAAUCUGCUGGCUGCAGAGCCAGGGGCCAUGCAGGAGUGAGGGAUGGUCUGGUCAAGGUGAGGCUCUGCCCCAGCCUCAGUUUCCCCACACAGGCAUGAGACUGUCUUCCUAACUCUCAGAGGACAGGGCUGAGAUGGGAUGAGGGAACACAGGGAAAGCGUUUAGCACCUCUGAGUGCUGUGUGGAUGUGACCUGGGGGGUCCUGGCCAUCCACUCUUUAAUUCUGUCUGGCCUGUGCACCCUCCUACCUCCAGUUUCCCUGCGGGGGCCUUUCACAGGGCCUGGCUUGUGGAUACGGGGUUUGGCCUAGGGCAGUGCUUCUCAAAUGGGAAGGCGCACUGGGAUUCUUCAGGUUGGGGUGGGGCCUGAGGUUCUGCAUUUCUAAUCAGUUGCCUAGGACUGGCUCUAAUUCUUGUUGAAUUUAGAAUCACUUGUGGAGUUAAGAAAAACAUAGUGGGCCUUGGCUGGGUGCAGUGGCUCACACCUGUAAUCCCAGCACUUUGGGAGGCCAAGGUGGGCAGAUGAUGAGGUCGAGAGAUCGAGACCAUCCUGGCCAACAUGGUGAAACCUCGUCUCUACUAAAAAUAAAAAUAAAAAAUUAGCUGGACAUGGUGGCAGGCACCUGUAAUCCCAGCUACUUGGGAGGCUGAGGCAGGAGAAUCGCUUGAACCCGGUUGCAGUGAGCUGAGAUUGCACCAUUGCACUCCAGCCUGGGCAAAAAGAGCGAAACUCUAUCUCAAAAAAAAAAAAAAAAAAAAGAAAAGAAAAAAAGAAAAACAUACUGAGCCAGGCGUGGUGACUCAUUCCUGUAAUCCCAGCACUUUGGGAGGCCGAGGCGGGCAGAUCACCUGAGGUCAGGAGUUUGAGACCAGCCUGGCCAACAUGGUGAAACCCCAUGUCUACUAAAAAUACAAAAAUUAACUGGGCAUGGUGGCACGCACCUGUAAUCCCAGCUACGUGGGAGCCUGAGACAGGAGAAUCACUUGAACUCAAGAGGCAGAGGUUGCAGUGAGCCGAGAUCGCACCACUGCACUGCAGCCUGGGUGACAGAGUAAGGCUGUGUCUCAUAAAAACAAACAACAACAACAACAACAACAAAAAACAUACUGGAGCCUAGAUCCCACUCCAGACUGGUUGAUUCUGAAUUUCUGAGGCUGAGGUGCAGGCAUGAAGUUCCCUGGGAGGUCUUCACAGAGUCUCUGGAUCCCUGAGGCUGUGAAUGACCCCCUUCCAGAGCCAAAAUCACCAGGGAUGGAGGAGGGGUCUUGGGUACUGGACCCACCAGCCAGGCAGAUUAUACUGGGGUAUCCGGAGAGCUUUGGGGUGUGGCAGGGGAGGGCCUAUGCACUGGGAAGGUGGAGGGCCGACGGGCACAGGUUAGUGGUCGAGGGCAGCGUAGUGACAGACAGAAGCUACCCUGCGGGUCUUCAGCCGAGUCUGAGUGCGCUGGGGUGGCUGUGGGAGCUCCCCUGAGCGUUUUCUAGGCUACCUCCACCUUUGGAUAAGGCUGUGUCAUCCUCAGUCUCUGAUGUAGUGGAAAGUGACUUGAAGUCAAGAAAUCCUGCCACUAGUACCCAAGGGGCCUUAGGCAAAUCAUGCUAUUAACCUCUGGCUUUUGCAUAUGUACGAUGUUGAUAAUCUUAUGCACCGUUGAUAUCCCCAAGUGAUAAGAGAAUUAAAUAAGAAUACACACACACACCUCCCACUACCUAGCAUAGUGACUGCUCAAUAAAUGUGAGUCAGAGGAAAUCAUUUAGCUAUUAGGCCAGCACUGGGAGGUGUGGAGGAUGCUCACCUCAGGUCAAGUGCACAAGUAUUAACCGAGCAGCCACCGGGGCCUCACAGUCAGGAGUUUAUCAUUUGCCUUUUGAAUCCUAAUGUCAGACCAGGUGGCAUUCCUGCUUGGGAUGACAAGCUCCUCUGUCAUGGGUGGGCCUCCUCUGCCAUGCCCCUUAACAGCGAAGGCGACACUCUAGGGCCUCCCCAGAUGCCGGCUCCGCCCUGAGGGCUCCUGUCAUCGGACUUCAUCCUCCUAACAACCCUCUGAGUAGAUGCUAUUAUUCUCAUUUUAGGGAGGAAACUGAGGCACAAAGCGAUUCAGUGACGGGCCUGAGCUCACCCAGUGAAUGAUGAUAGGGUGUGAACUGGGACCUGUGGUUGGUCCCAGCCCAGCCCCUGACCACUCUGCUCUAUUGCCCCUAGGCUGCAAGUGCAGCUGCAGGUGGGCCUGCUCCUGCCUCCUCUCCUUGCCUGGGCCUUUGGGCCUGCUCCGCCUUCCCCUGGAGCGCUGUCUUCCCUCUGCCUGCUGGCGGUCUAGGCAUUGCUGCAGCCCCACUGAGAGGUCCUCUUCCAGGACACACCUUGGGCACCUUGGUUGGAAUUCUUUUCCCUAUGACUUUUCCUCAGAGGAGAAGACACCUUCAGAUGUGCUCUGCCUCCUUACUGAACAGCCUGGAGGACAGGCCAGUCUCCACUUCCUAUUGGGAGCCCCUGAGGCCAUGCUCAGCCUUGGCUCACCUUCUCUGAGCUGAGUUGCUGUCAGAGUUCCAAGGAGGAAAAGACCAGGGAGGCUGGAGCGGGCAGGAGUGGCUUCCUGGAGGCAGAGUGUCUGAGCUCUGGGGGAGGAUGAUGGCAUUCCAUGGCCUGUCCCAACAGGGGCUCUUGCCCCUCCCUGUUUCUGGUGCAAGCAGAGGGUCUCGGACCCAGGCCAGCGAGGCAGCUCCCGGGGUUGGAAUCUUCCUUCGCUCCCAAUUCCACCCUUUCUGGAAACCAGGAAGCUGGGGCCAGUGCCCAGCACUGCCUCUGGCAGCCUGGCCUCUGCCCUCUUCUGAGAAGCCUUCAGAGAAGUUGACUGCCCAUUCCUGCCAUCUGUACCCAGCUGCUGGAACGCCCUUCCUGGCGUCUGCCCUGAGCCUCUCCAGCUGCUGGGAACUUCUGUGAAUGUGUCCUCUGUGCAGGGCACUGGGCCAGGAGCUGGGACUGGGAGGUGAGAGAGACCAGACCUUGGCUUUGAGGAGCUGAGGGUUUGAUGGGAGAGACCGAUGUAGAAACCUGGAAUCUGGCACAGCCAAACAGGCAGCUGGAGCUGGGGUCAAGACCCAAUGGCUGUGGAGGCCCUGUGUUGCCUUGGCAACCUUCUUCCCUCUCUGGGCCUCAGUUUCCCCAUCUGUAAAAUGUAAAAUCAGCAGGCUAGCUGAUCUCUGAGAGUGUUUGCAUAUUUGAUAACCCAUGAAUUGUAUUUCAAAACAAGAGGCCCAUGCCUGAUCCAGUGUUUGCAAGGUGAUGCCUCAGACCCUUGGUGUUCCUCAGGACACUGAUAGGCAUCUCUUGAAAGACAUUUGGUAAACACUGCUUUCUGCUUCCUCUUUUUAGAGAUGUAAGGGUGGGACGUGGUGGUUCAUGCCUGUAAUCCCAGUACUUUGGGAGGCCACGGUGGGAGGAUUGCUUGAGUCCAGGAGCUCGAGACCAACCUGGACAACACAGUGAGACCCCCGUUUCCAUUAUUAUUAUUAUUAUUAUUAUUAUUAUUAUUAUUAUUAUUAUUAUUAUUUGAGACUGGCUCUGUUGCCCAGGCUGGAGUGCAGUGGUGUGAUCUCGGCUCACUGCCACCUCCACCUCCUGUGCCCAAGCGAUUCUUCUCCCUCAGCCUCCUGAGUAGGUGGGACUACCAGCACAUGCCACCAUGCCCGGCUAAUUUUUUGUAUUUUUAGUAGAGACGGGGUUGCACCAUGUUGGCCAGGCUGGUCUUGAACUCCUGACCUCAGAUGAUUUGCCUGCCUCGGCCUCCCAAAGUGCUGGGAUUACAGGUGUGAGCCACUGUGCCUGGCCACCAUUAUUUAAAAAAAAUUUUUUAAAAACUGUUUAAGUAAAAGAGAUGCAUUGCCUCUAAGCAUGCUAAAAGUUCUAAAUUCUGCAGUUAAAAACUGCUCUUUGUUUAAAAUAUUUAAUAUGAAUCUUCAAUUUAUUAUUCUAUUAUUUUUACCACCUAUUAACAUCUUGUAGAGUUUUUGAUGGAAACCAGUUUCACCCUGUUCUGGAGAGGACAUAGUUGCCUGAGGUGGACGUGGAGGCACCAUGGGCCCUGAGUGAGAUUGCAUGUUCCUUACUUUGGGGUCACCCUGCCUUGGUUUCCAACUCCGUUCAGACCUGUUUGACGUGUACCAGGUGACUACUCAGUGUCAGGCCAGGGAAGCAGCUGAAUAGAAUAUGGCACUGACCCCCAAUUCCCUGUGUUCCCAUGCCUUCAGAGUUCUCAUUGUCCUGCAUUGUCCCUGCUGGGGUGUGGACUUGAGGGCUGGGUCCUUCCCGCCUCCUCCGUGGUGCCUGUUACAUAGGAGUGAUGGCAGCAGAUGAAGGGCUUGCAUGGAAGAGAAUGUGUGCAGGCAGCAUGCGGGGAAGGAAUGAGCACGUGCUCCUGAGUUAGACAGUCCAGGUUUAAAAAAACAUUGUUAGAGAUGGGGUCUCGAACUCUUGGGCUCAAGUGAUCCUUCCACCUCACCCUCCUGAGUAGCUGGGACUAUAGGUGUGUGCCACCAUGCCUGGCUCUAGCUCCAGGUUUGAAUCCUGACACCUCCAUUUAUUAGCUGUGUGUCCUUGGCAAAUGAGUUAAGGUCUCUGAGUCUCAGCUUCCUUCCAGGUUGUGGUGAGGAUUAAAGCAGAUAAUGUAUGUAAACACUUAAGACAGGGUCUGGCGCAUGACGGAACCCAGUAAAUGGUGGCUAUUGUUACCAGCAGCUUGGGGAUCUGCCGCCAAGGUGGCUGUUGGUUGACCUUGGGUUUAGAGUAGUCAUUGCUUCUUCUUUUUUUUUUUUUCUAGACAGAGUCUCACUCUUUCACUCUGUUGCCUAGGCUUGAGUGCAGUGGUGUGGUCUUGGCUCACUGCAACAUUUGGCAUCCAGGUUCAAGCAAUUCUCCUGCCUCAGCCUCCUGAGUAGCUGGGAUUACAAGUGCACACCACCAUGCUUUGCUAAUUUUUAUACUUUUAGUAGAGACGGAUGGGGUUUCACCAGGCUGGUCUCAAACUCCAGACCUCAGGUGAUUCGCCUGCCUCGGCCUCCCAAAGUGCUGGGAUUACAGGUGUGAGCCACCGUGCCUGCCCCCUGGCUAAUUUUUAUAUUAGUUAUUGCUUCUUAUCUUGUCAAAAUGCUGCCAUCAGAUGUUCCCCGUCUGUUCCCAGUCACCACGGAGGCUGCAGAGCCAGGGCCGAUGGCUAUCCAUGGAACCAAAGCAGAAGGGGAAGCAAGUGACUGAGCUCACAUGACUGUUUAGUCAUGGAACUGGACAUGUCUGCUGUGACAUUUUGUUCCCAGGGUUCCUGGGGACCUACCCUAGGCAAGCUCCUGCUGUCUGUGGGGUAAAUAAAGAGGGGUGAGUGUGCCCCUUGUCUUUAGGGAGCUUGUUCAUUCAUACAUGUCUAGACACUAGGCAACAUGGUACAGACAUGCAUGAGGAUUAAGAGAGUGGGGAAGAUGGAGGGAAGGAAGAGAGGGGGCAGAGGGGACCUUUAUGAGAUGGGUCUAUUGGUGUUGUCCCUGGAGCGGAAAAGAGCUGUCUGUAAAUAUGGUCUGAGCAGGGUGGGCUGCACGUGGCUCAUGAGACCUUUGUCCUUUCACUACUGGUAGGCAGCUGGCAGCUUGAGGGAAGGGGCUUGUCAAGGUUGCCCAGCUUAGGAACUGACAGUGGGACUAAGUCUUCUCAUUCCAGAUUCCUUGUCAUUUUCCUCUGUGAUCCAGGCCAUUGCCCCAGACCAGGGCUGGGCAGGAAGGGAGCUCAGCCCACCCAUCUUCCUGCUCUCACUGGGUUUACUGCUGUCCCUUAAAGGUAAAAAUGGGGUGAUCCAGUCAGAAUUUAGUGUUUGUCUGAGCUUGAAGGAUCCUCCUCGCCGACAUAAGGUUUCCUUAUUCUUCGCUGAUGUCACUUGUUAAUGAAAAUGGGAGCCGAGUGAUCAUGAGCUGAGCUGGGGAUCCAGAGACCAGAGUUCAAGGCUGGCCCUUGCCCCAUUUACCAGCGAGAUUGGGAUAAGCUAAGUAACCUUCCCAUGCCUCAAUCUCCUGUCUGUAAAAUGAGAAUCACGAUACCUGCAAUGUCACAAGGAUAAAAAGGGCUGGGCACAGUGGCUCACGCCUGUAAUCCCAGCACUUUGGGAGGCCGAGGCAGGUGGAUCACAAGGUCAGGAGAUCGAGACCGUCCUGGCUAACAUGGUGAAACCCCAUCUCUACUAAAAAUACAAAAAAUUAGCCGGGCAUGGUGGCGGGCACCUGUAGUCCCAGCUACUCGGAAGGCUAAGGCAGGAGAAUGGCGUGAACCCGGGAGGCGGAGCUUGCAGUGAGCCGAGAUCGCGCCACUGCACUCCAGCCUGGGCAACAGAGCAAGACUCCGUCUCAAAAAAAAAAAAAAAAAAAGAAGUAAGGAAUGGCAAGUGCUCAGCCUAGCACCUUUGACAAAAACAAGACCUAGUAGUUGCCUCUUUCAGUCAUUUCAACUGCCAGUUAAUGCCCCACAUUUUCCAGAUGGGAUGGCUUAUGUCUUGGCUAUAAUCAAGCCCGGGAAAACCUCUUCCCUUUCUAGGGUGCAGAGUUGAGCUUACUGAGAUCACAACAGGGAACCCAGGCACAGCCCUGGGGUGUGUUCACAUGUCAGGGGCCUCGGUUCACACAGGAAGUAUAAUAUCUGCUAGGCUGUCAGGCUGAGGGCCUCACGCACACCCACCCCAGCUCAACUUCAGCUGUGUGUGCUUCACUGUGAGCAGGUAUUAUUUUGUUUUGUGUUGUUUUUCAGACAGGGUCUCACUCUGUGGCCCAGGAUGGAGUGCAGGGGUGCCAUCACGGCUCACUGCAGCUUCUACUUCCCGGGCUUAAUCGAUCCCCCACCUCAGCCUUCCAAGUAGCUGGUACCACAGGCACCAGCCACCACGCCUGGCUAUUUUUUAUUUAUUUAUUUAUUUGUUUAUUUUUGAGACGGAGUCUCUCUCUGUUGCCCAGGCUGGAGUGCAGUGGCGUGAUCUCGGCUCACUGCAAGCUCCGCCCCUCGGGUUCAUGCCAUUCUCCUGUCUCUGCCUUCCGAGUAGCUGGGACUACAGGUGCCCGCCACCACGCCCGGCUAAUUUUUUGUAUUUUUAAUAGAGACAGGGUUUCACCGUGGUCUCGAGCUCCUGACCUCGUCAUCCAACCGCCUCGGCCUCCCAAGGUGCUGGGAUUACAGGCGUGAGCCACCGCACCCAGCCAAUUUUUGUAUUUUUUUUGUAGAUACAGGGUUUCACGAUGUUACCCAAGCUGGUCUCAUUGAACUCCUGAGCUCAAGCUAUCCUCCCGCCUUGGCCUCCCAAAGUGCUGGGAUUAUAGGUGUGCGCCACCUGCACAGUUGUUUUAUAUUUACCUCACCUCUCUAUCAGGUGGCAAAUUGAGAAAUCAGAGAGUUUAGGGCUUAGAACCCAGAGUUGAAAUCGCAGUGACUGCUUUGGCAGGUGCAUUGGGAGGAGCUGCGCCCGACUCUGCCAAGGUCCCAACUCCUGCUGUGUGAUCUUGGGGAAGCCAGCCACCCUCUCUGGCACAUUCUCCAUCAGUGCAUUGAGGGAGCUGGCCUCUGACAUCUAUCAAAUUUGCUAUCAGGGGCUUUAGGGCUCUACUGGGACAGGCCCACAUUUGCUUUUGUUUCCCACCUUUUGUCCCCCAAGUGCUCGGGGUUGGACAUGUGAGCGCACAGCAGAUGCUCAAUAAGUGCUUGCUGAACCUCAGUGAUCAGAGAUAGCUUGGCGGGUCUGUCUCCUGGGUCUGUCAUUCCCUUAGCGCUGCGUGGGGAGUCCCCUCACAUCCUUCCCUGCUGGGGGGGCCUCCUCCUGGGGGAUCACCUAAAGCUCAUGUCUACAGAGACGCUCUCUCAACCCUCCAGUACCAGCUGUUUUCUCUGACAGCACCCUGGACUUUUCCUUUGUAGCACUCAUUGCAAUUUAUGAUCACAUAUUUAUUGGCGGAUUAGUUGUUCAUUGUCUGUCUUCCCCACAAGGAUGUCUGCUUCGUGAGGGCAGCUUCGUAAGUCCUCAGUGAUCAACUGAGUGCCUGAAUGAAUGAAUGAGUGGUGAGGACAGAAUGGGGGGUAAAAAGCUGGGAGAGGCAGGUACAGUGGCUCACACCUGUAAUCCCAGCACUUUAUGAGGCCAAGGCUGGUGGAUCGCUUGAGCCCAGGAGUUGAAGACCACCCUGGGCAACCCCAUUUCUACCUUGUUAUCAUGGCGAAACCUCGUCUCUACUAAAAAUAAAAAAAAAAUUAGCUGGGUGUGGUGGUGUGUGCCUGUAGUCCCAGCUACUCGGGAAGCUGAGUGAGAGAAUCACCUGAGCCUGGGAAGUUGAGUCUGAGAAGUGAGUCUUGAUCGUGGCACUGCACUCUAUCCUGGGCAACAGGAGUGAGACCCUGUCUCAAAAAAAAAAAGAGCGAGGAGGAGGCUGAGGGUUAGAUGAGGCUGUCAAGGGCCUCUCACUGAUGGAGGCGGUCAUGACUCCUAGUCCAGUGCUCUUCCUUCUUCUGGAGCAGGGACACCCUGGGGGACCAGGCUGGGUUUAAUGGGCAGCCAAGCCCCUGAGGACCUAGGGAAGAGGAGGAGGGGAUGGGGGAUCUGAGCCAGCUCCACCCCUUCCCCCAGCAGGCAGGAAGGACAGGGCAGAUCUGUCAGCUUCAGACACCACUGCCCCAGGGGACCCAGCCCUGAGCCCAGGGAGGCAGGGAAAGAGCGGGGGACAGGAAGCACCCGGGUCUUCCCCUCCUCCCUUUUGCCCCACCCUCCGCCCCCAUCUCUGGCGAGAGAGCUCACAGCCCCAGGCCUUGGCACUAGGGGGACAAGGGCGGGGCAGGGGGGACAGAAAUCCCGUUCUGGGCAAAUCCCUUCCUCUCCCUCAUUUGGUUUCUGGCCUCAAAUUGGGGACUGCCCUGGCAGCCCCUGGAGAGCUUGGCUGGGGCCUUGAGGCAGAAGGGAUGGAGCGAGAGGGAGAGGGCACUGCCCGCUUAUGCCCUUCCUGUGUGCCCAGCCCUGUGCAGACCUAGCUGCAGUGUCACUCAACAGGAGGAAGAGCCCUGGGCGGGACCUGGGAGGCCUCACUGAAAGGCUGGGCUCUGUCAAGAAUUGCUGUGUGACCUUGGGUGGGGCACAGCCCCUCUCUGGCCGCUGUCAUUCUCCUCAUCCGCCAAUGUGGUCCAAACCUGGGGCCAAAGAACACAAGCCCCUGGGGAGUUUUAAAAGACUAAUUCCCAGGCCCCAUUCUGAGUGGUAGAUUUGGGUGGGACAUCUGUAUUUUUAAAUCUCUGCUGCGAUUAUGAUGCACCUGGUGGAGGCACUACUGCCAUAGAUGGUCUAAGGGCCUCUCGCCAGCCUUGAAACUCCCACCCCUAGGGCAGGCCACCCCACUCCUGUGUGCUACUCGGGAAGGCAAGGGCCGCAGUGGCUGGCUGCAUCCUCUGGGGUGCCAGCUGGGACACAGGUGGCAGGCCGUGGGGAGCAGGGUGCUGCCUGGGGAGGGUGUGUGCUGUGGACCUGCCAGGAACAAACACAGAGGGUCCUGGGAGGGCCCUGAGCUUCCCAGCUGGAGUCUCCCCUCCAUCCCCUCCUCCGAAGGCCUCUUCCCCCUGACCUUUCUCCCUUCUUUUCCACUUCAGCCUCCACCUUGUUUCUUUCUCUGUCCAUUGCUCCCUCCUUCUCCUCUUUCUGUCCCCAGCCUCCUCUCUUUGGGAAGCUUUUUAAUUUUGACCCCAUAUCCUACAGUUGGUUGCUCCUGCCUCUUGGUGUCCUUCCUGUCCUGGCCCUCCUGCCCUGGCUCCCUGUCUCUCUCCAGCCCUGUCUCUGUCUCUCCCUGUUUUUCUCUCCCUGAUGCGUUCUCUCUCUCCCUCCCUCCAUGAAUUUCUCUGUCUCUGUCCUGUGCCACCUCUCAUCUGCCCUGCCUCUGUAAAUGUGGGGAGGACCCUGGGAAAAUGACAGAGAUGGGAAGAGCUGACAAGUUAGAGAAACCAAGGCUUGUGGCAACCCGCAGUCUUCCCCACCUGGCUCUAGCCCACCUUCCCCAGGCCACCCGGCUCUGUCCUCUGCAUGCCCUGGGUCACCCUGCCCCUCCCUCGUGCCUAUGCCCAGCUCCGCAUCUCCCUCUUCCCAUUUCCAGCUUCCCUGACACUGCCUCGGGGCCCUUUCUCUGGCUGUCCCAGGGACGUCACCUCCUGUGAGCCCACAGCUCACUGUCUGUCGAGGGGGGACAGGCAGGAGGUGAGGAUGCGUCCGAGUCUCCCUGGGACACGACCCUCACAGAGUCAUGGACUGCAGGAUUUGCACCAUCCCCUGGCACGAGAGCCAGGGUUGCCCAGAUUGAUGGAAGAGCAGGUGUUUGUGUCCCCUUCCAGUGAGAGCUUUCCAGCACCCAGAGAGCCAAGACGGCUUGUGGAAUUGGGGAAGAGGCAGGGAGAGGGUGGGAAGUGGGAGUGGAGGGGUAUGUUCUUCCCCUCCCGGGGCCUCAGUUUCUCCUCACAAGCUCUUCCCUCUCUCUCAUUGUCUAAGCCUUUCCUUCCCGCCUCUGGUGCGAUUGGGGGUGGGGCAGGGGUAGGGAAUGAGGGGAUGUUGGGCUUUUACUCAACAGAGCAAUUUCUCCUGUGAUCAAAAGAGGCCAUGGCCGCCUCAUCUCUCCUCGGAGACCUGCCCUGACAGGUGGUGUCCUGCCUCCAGUCCGUGUUAACCCCCUCAAGGCCAGGGCCGGGCCGAGGGUCUGAGCCUUCCACCUGCCCCUUGAAGGGGCCUCCCUGGGGUCCAGAGACAUCAGAGUGUCCCUGGGGAGGCUGUGGACCCUGGGCCUCACACUUACAUCUGGACAGGCCUUCUGACCUCCAGGGCCUGGUGAGAACCUCAGGUGAGGAGUUGCUGUCAGGCUCCCUGGGCAGGUUGGGGUGGUCCUGCUGUCCCACCCUGGGGACUUUAUUCCAGGGGCUGUGGGCUGGAAGGAGCCCCUGUUCCUUUCAGACUCCCUCUCUACACCCUCCCUACUGCUGGCCCUGUGGCCCUGGGUGUGGGAUGUGCAGAGGACCAGCCAGGAGAAGGGUUAAGUCAGGGACUCUUGGGAUGGCUUUGGCCACGGCCAUUCCUCCGAGAGAAGAGAACAAGGGGCCCAUUCUGUGUGUGGGAAUUAAUAGCAAAGAGUCAUCUGGGGUGUCACUCAAGCACUGAUCGACUCCCAGAGGAAUGUGAGAGGGAGAGAGAGAGGGAGAGGAGAGGAGAGGAGAGGAGAGGUGUGGUGGGGGCUGAGACGGAGAUGUCAAAGGCAGGGCAUUAGGGUCUGGCUGUUACAGGAGCCUGCCCUGGUAGGAGGACCCGCCGCCCCAAGAUGGGUCCUGCUUUUCACCACAGACGCGCCUCCGUCCCUACACAGGAUGAAGAUCCCCUCCUGUCAUUCCCUCACCCCUUCUGUCUUCCCUCAUUCCCGGACGGCCGUACCCUCCACCCUGAGGUAGGCCUGUUGGGCAGCUGGCCCUGAGUUCUGGGCUCUCCCAGUCUGCCCCCAUCUUUGCUGAGAGAUCCAGGUGCUCCUUGUGGGAAAUGCCCUGGGGAAGGUGCUGUGGAGUGCCAGCCUGGGGUCCUGAGUUGUACCCUCUGUCCCAGGAUCCAGGAGCCCCACUCGCCUGGCUGCAGGCCCAGUUCAGACACAUUCCUACCGGGUGGCUGCAGGCACCUUUGGCUGCCUGCAUGUGGGGACGCUGGAGCUUGUCAGCCAUCACAGGGGGCUCAGCCUUCCUCAUCUGCUCAGGCCCCUGUGGCAGCCUCAGCCUGGCCUGUGGGUGAGGACCAGCAGGCAUCCUGACAUCUGAUUGUCACACCCUAAGGAAGGCCUUGGCGAGGCUCCAGGAGGCCUAGGAGGGUGUGGCGCUCUCCUGCUCCAGUUGUGGGGCUGAGUCAGAAUCCUCCCAGGUCAUCUGCCCCUGGGUGUCCUGACACCCCUUCCCCUCCCCAGGGCCUCAGCCUGGCCACCGAGCCGAAAUGACCCUAGACUCUGUGGGAUGCAGAGGCAGUGGGGUGCGGAGGAUGAGGGCUUUGGGGCAGUCAGAGCAGGGUGCUCCAUCCUUGGCCCUGUGACCUGGGCAGAGCUCCUUUGUCUCUCUGAGCCCCGGGGUUUCCUCUUGAAAAUGGGUCAUGUCAUAACUGGCAGGUUCAGAGGUAAGAGAAGGUAACAGGUGUCAAGUGCCCGACACAAUAGCCAACCACUGUGUGUUGUUAUUUUUAUUGUGAUGAUUAUUGUUAUUGGAGGGCUGGGCAGCCUCCACUACCCUUGGGCUGGAAGGCACACCGUGCACACCAUUUGACUGCCUGGAUCUGCACCUGGCAGCCUGUGCCCGCUCGGCGAAUCGCAGGGAUCCCAGCGCUGUUCCUCUUCAGCUGUGGUUUUGGCGAGGGUGAGCUUCCCGGCCCCCAGACCUCCUGUGUGCCAGCGUCAUUUCCAUAUCUGGUGACUCAUCCUGCUGGUCCUGCCGGAACAUGAUGCCUCCCCUGCAUCAUGGUGCAGGCACAGUGCGUGCAGCACAUGCAUGGUGCAGGCACAGUGUGUGCAGCCACGGGCCUCGGUUCCUCCCCUGGGAGUUGGCCACCUGUGCCCCCACGGUAGACUCUGACGUGCUAAAGCCUGAAGAGAGCUUAGCAGUUGUCCAGCCGGACCUUCUUAUUGUACUGACAGGGAACUGAGGUCCAGAAGAGAGGGCCUUUCUGGGGCACUGUGGAGUAAACAGAGUUGGCAGGCUCUUCUACAUUGGGCUAGGAGUCUGGACUCCUGGGUUCUUGCCCAAACUUGGGUGCUAGGGGCCAAGUGGGCUGGGAAAAUUCCUUACUCGUAGCUGGGGUGGGGAGAGGACACAUGGAGAAAGAAGGUGGAGCCUUUUGCAAACUAAAGUGCUUUCCAAAUAUGAGGGGUUAUCAGGAGGGUGGCUUUGGGCCCCUCGAGAUGGUGCUGACCCUGUGUUCCUCUGCAGUCUGUGCAGGGCACUAGGGUGGUUGGUGUCACCAGCCCAGGGGCUGCUGGACACAGGCCCCACCCAGAGGAAUAAGGCAACACCAUUGAGGAGGGGCAGCCCAGGGCUCCCUGCCUGGCUUUGGAGGUGUAAGGUGUUUGAAAUAACAUUCUCCAACAUGCUCAAAGUGAAACCAGCUUCCUUUGGGAACAUAUGGAGACCACAGGCACUUCACAGGGGCUGAUGAGGACCCACCAACUCCGCUGUGGGCUCUGUCCCUGCCCUUGGAGCUCAUAGCCUGGUGACCUUGGCAUUCAUUAUUUUCAUUCCAGUUCUCAGCACAGCGCUUGGCACACAGUAGGAACUCAGGAAGUGUUUAUGGGAUGGAAUGGAGUGAUGACGUUGAGGCAAGAUGAAGGUUAUGAACGGAGAUGACAUCUGCGUCUUGGCAGGAAGCAGAGGGGAGGAAAAGGAGCAAGUAAGGAGUGGCGGCUGGCGUGGGUGCAGCGCCACUGAGAGAAGGGGUUGAGAGAGGUUAGAGAAGGACUGGAGUCAACACUCCUGAGAGCCCUUCUUUGCCCUGUGGCCUCUUACUUGCAAGCUAGUUCCCCUCUCUCAGCCUCAGUUUCCUAAUCGGUAAAGCAGGGAUAGUAGAAUUUCGUCAUGAGUUCUUGCAAGGCUCGAGAACGGUAACACAUGGGCCGCGGCAGGCUCUCGGCCGUGCCUGCUGGACACCCAGUGUGUUGUGAACAGAGAUCUUUAGAGAGAACAGAUAAAAAUUACAGAAGUAUCUUAUAGAGACACAGUUGACAGAUACAGAAAUAAUGUGAGUUGCAUCAUAUUAGAUUCAGAGAGAUUAAAGAGAGAUUUUUAGGGGAAUUUACGAAUUUAUUCAUUUUGGGGACACAGAGAGCAAUGAGCACUGGGAUGGAGACAGUGAACGCCUGACAUUGGAGGCUCCUGGACUAUAGAGUUGCUUUGUUUUUUGGAUGGAGUCUCCCUCUGUUGCCCAGGCUGGAGUGCUGUGGCAUAAUCUCGGCUCACUGCAACCUCUGCCUCCCAGGUUCAAGCAAUUCUCCUGCCUCAGCCUCCUGAGUAGCUGGGAUUACAGGCAUGUACCACCAUGCCUGACUAAUUUUUGUAUUUUUAGUGGAGAUGGGGUUUCGCCAUGUUGGCCAGGCUGGUUUCCACCUCCUGACCUCAAGUGAUCUGCCUGCUUAGGCCUCUCCAAGUGCUGGGAUUACAGAUGUGAGCCACCUCGCCUGGCCAAGUGGUUUUUUUUGGAUGGAGUCUCACUCUGGUGCCCAGACUGGAGUGCAGUGGCGUGAUCUUGGCUCACUGCAACCUCUGCCUCCUGGGCUCAAGCAAUUCUCCCACUUCCGCCUCCUGAGUAGCUGGGAUUACAGGCAGCUGCUACCAUGCCUGGCUAAUUUUUGUAUUUUUAGUAGAGACCAGGUUUCGCCAUAUUGGUCAGGCUGGUCCCAAACUCCUGACCUCAGCCUCUCAAAGUGCUAGGAUUACGUGCGUGAGCCACCAUACCUGGCCUUUUUUUUUUUUUAAUUUAUUUUUUUCCCCAAACUUGGACAAAGCAUAUCACUUGUAGACGUUUUAUUGGGCCACAAAAAUGCUUAAGAACUAAAGAAGAAAACUCCAGCUCCAAAGUAUACAAAAAUAGCAAAAUAGAAAUUAUUCAAAAUUUUAAAUGAAAAAUAAAAAAGACCCUUUAAAACUUGUUUAUAGCCAACCAGUUCUAUGUAGCAUGUGACGUGGGUACAUUUCAACAUGCUUGAUGCAGUGUGUUGUCAGUGGGACCCACAAGAGUCUUAUAAAGUGUCCCGGGCACUGCAACCUCCGCCUCCCGGGCUCAAGCAAUUCUCCCACCUCAGCCUCCUGAGUAGCUGGGAUUACAGGCACCUGCCACCAUGCCUGGCUAAUUUUUGUAUUUCUAGUAGAGACUGGGUUUCGCCAUGUUGGCUGGGGCCAUGGGGCUGGGGUUGAUCAGCAAAGUCAGCUGUGUCUGGGUCAACUGAGAAGGGCUUCCCGGUGGAGGUGAUGUUUGGGUGCAACCUUACAGAGAGAGAAGGAAUUGAAUAGAGGGAAAAAUGGCCUGGUGGUGACUUUUGAGUCUUUUUUUUUUUUUUUUGAGACGGAGUCUUGCUCUAUCGCCCAGGCUGGAGUGCAGUGGCACCAUCUCAGCUCACUGCAAGCUCCGCCUCCUGAGUUCACGCCAUUCUCCUGCCUCAGCCUCCCGAGUGGCUGGGACUGCAGGCACCUGCCACCAGUCCCGGC
rnacentral:sRNA from 1 species